rnacentral:lncRNA from 1 species
UAUAAUCUUUCCAAAUUUAUAAUCAUUUAACAAUUAGAAGCAGACACAAACUAGGUAAGUAUUUAUAUACUUGAAACUUCAUUAAAACAUUUAAAUAUUUAAACAUAGUUAAUUAGCUCAUGCCUCGUAGUCCUUAACAUAUGAUGUCACGUUAUGCACAAAGUGGAGUGUGGUUUUUCAAAACAUAGCAUCAUGUUAGGAAAUAUGUCUUCCUCUUUAAUGAAGAUUUGUAAAUCCUAAAUUAAGAUAUUGUUUAGACUUUUCUUAUUUAGUAGUUUUCUUAUUCACGAGGAUUCAUAUUUAAAAAAUAAGUAAUUUUCAUUUAAAACUUAGCUUAUUUAAGGAAGAAUACAAUUUGUAUGAGAAAAAAAAUACUACUUGUAGAAAAAAUAGUCAUUAUACUUGUCUCAACGACCAAUUUCUCUGCAAGUAGACAAUUUUUAAUAUGAGAGAAACAGUAGUUCUAUUAAGAGAUUGAGUAUUAUUGGAGUUUUGGGUGUAAGGAAUAUAUUAGAGUGAUUGUUCUUAUUUUUCGCAUAGUAUAUUUUUCUCUCGUCGUCCUUGGCAGCUGUUGGACCAAAAAUAAAAUAAGUCUAAUAAGGCCCGUCUAAUAGAUUUCCUCCCAAUUAAGCCCACGAAGUGGUGGACAAAUGACCUAGAAUGAUCCUCCUAAGUAACAAGGUUUUAAAACCCAAAAGGAGCCAAGGUCCUAGAUUCCUAUCCUAAGACAAAUCACCUAGGAUAAAUCAACUAGGUGGCAAGGAUUUAAAGUCCAAAACGUGCUGAGGUUCUAGGCUCUUAUCCUAGGACAAACCUCCUAAGUUUGAAGGCUCUUAUGAUCCCAAGGUCUUAGUAAAAAUAACCUAAGGAUAAAACAUUCAUUCCUCUAAUUUGUAGAUAAGUUUGUAUAUUCAUGUGUCAAUCCACAUGGGCACUAGAGGACAAGUGUUGCCAAAUGUCACAAGAACAAUGACAUUUGUCAUCAAAAUAACUAGGACCCAAGUCAAAUCAGUUUGGUCGAUAAAUAUGUCUUUCAUUCACAUCAAAAGGUAAGACAAAAAAGAGACUCAAAAGGGGAAAAUGCUAACUUUCUCCCUCUAAUCUUUCUCUUUCUAAAUUCAUAUUUCCAAAAGUCCGAUGACUGACUUGACCGUCGGAGGGUUUACGCCGGCAAAGCCGGCCCUCUGAUAAUUUUCUUGUGUUUGUAGAGUAUCACAGGAUAAGGACCUUCUGAUUGCCUAAGGAAGUAGACUCAGAAGAGUAUAUACAAAGGCCCAUAAAGAUCAGCCCAAAGAAUGAACUCACCAUAAUAAGUUGGGACAAAAUUUGCACCAACAGCAGCCAUAGUUUUUCUCUAAUAUAAGAGUUUUCUCACGUAAAUUCUUAUAUUGUGUAAUUAGUUUUAUUCUCUAUUUAUUUUCUGUUUAUUAUUUGUUUGAUAUUUUUUCUUUCAAGAUAUUGGAACAAAUUAAAUUUUCUAACAAGUUGUAUCAGAGUUAAACUUGUUUUGAAAAGUAAUUAUGCCAGCAAUAAGAUUUCAAUCUGCAUAUAGAAACAGAAAAGUUUAAUGGAAUAAUCAAUUUUGGCUUGUGGCAUAUUCAAGUCAAGUAUAUAUUAGUUCAAUCUAGGUUACAUAAGGAAAGCAAAAGCAAUGUAAACCUUCGUAGGAACUCGUAGAGGUAUGUGGACAAUUAAGGCACUUUGAAGAAGAUUGUCGAAAUAGAGCAAGUUUGGCAAAUAAAUAUAAAUCAGUAGAUGGAGAUAUUGAUAAUAUUAGCUAAUGGUGUGUCUCUUUAGUCCAUUAGAGAUCGGUUUAUCUUUUUUUGGUGUGCCAUGGAAAAGAGUGUGUCAUUGUUAGUGGGUCUAUAAGAUUUGCAUUCAAGGCAUGUGUUUGACAUUUGUGCAAGCUAUAUGAAGUAAUUUUUAUGUUGAUGGUGCUGGAGGCUCUCAAGGAGCCAAACAUGAGAGUGGGUAAUUUUAGAAAUUUAAUCGAUAUGUACCGAAUAUGUGUACUUUGGAUAAGAUAGAGUAUGACAAUUAUUGGUGUACAGAAUUACAGCGUCUGGAUAGAGACCAUAAUGGAGUGAUUUCAUAAGCUCUAUGCGAAUAUGGUUUUGGUGCAGUAAAGGAGGUAGAGAUGACAUGGCUAUGGAUACACGGUGGAUCAUGUUUUGUCACCUAAUUGAAAAACUCACUAAGGUGGAGAUUGUAAGGAAAUAUCUCUUAUUUCUUAAUGAGGAUUUGUAAAUCUAAAAUAAGAUAUUUUCUAGUUUUCUUAUUUAAAAGGAUCCGUAUUUGAGGAAUAAGUGAUUUCCUUUUAGAAUUUAGUUUAUUCAAGAAUGAAUAUAAUUUCUAUAAGGAAAUGAAUACUACUUGUAAAAAAAAAAAAAUCACUAUACAUAAGGAAGUUGUGUCCACUUGUUUACAUAAUACAACAAUCAAUUUAUUUGCAAUUUGAUACUUUCUAAUGUGAAAGAACAGUGGGUCUAUUGAGAGAUUGAGUGUUAUUAGGGUUUUGGGUGUAAGAAAAAUACUAAAAUAAUUAUAAUAAUUUUCUACAUAGUAGAUUUUUCUCCCGUCGUCCUUGGCGACUGUGAUUUUUUUCUGAUACAAAGUUUUUCAUAUAAAUUCUUAUGUUAUAUGAUUAACAUUAUUCUCCAUCUACCUUUUAUUUAUUAUUUUUUUAAUAUUUUUUCUUACAAAAUCUUGGUCAGAUUAAAAUUCCUUAAGACACCAUAUGUUAACAACUACAAGGUAUAAGUUAACUAAGUUCAAAUAUUUAAAUGUUUUAGUUAUGAAAUGUUCUUAUGAUGUUUCCAAUAUUUAAAUGCUUGCAUAAUGAUUCAAUCACUUAUAUGUUUUUAACAUUGUACAAUGUUUUAAAUGUUAAAUGGUUAUAAAUUUCAAAAGAUUCCCCCGGCCGCCCCCCCAACACACAUCCAGAAGAAACCAAAGCCGCGCAAGCAUCCAGGCCCGCAUCCACUGACCCAUGAUCUCCAAUGACCCAAGAAAAGGGAACAACUCCCCAUUUUUGGGGACCAUUGAUCGCCGCCAUCACCUCUUGUCCGAAAUACCUUUCGCUGAAUAUAAUCAAUAGAAUUUUUUGGUGACCCGGCACCACUUCUUAAAAGGGAUUGUCAAUAGAGGUAUAAACUCCCACGGUAAGACUAGGUUAGUUUUCUACGAAAUCAUGGUAUUUCAUAUAUUUGCAUAGUGUAUAAAUAUGUACGCAUGUAUUUUGUUACAUGAAAAACUGAUUUAUUUAUUGAGCUAGUAUUCAUUAUAGUUUAUUAUGAUUCUCAGAUAUCAAGAUUAAUUCAUGAUGAGUAAGGAGAAAGACAUGAUUUAAGAAUCAUAAAUGAUUUAACAUUUAAAGUCUUUUUCUAUUUAAGGGUUGAAUUUUUAUUAUAUAAAGAUGGUGAGUUUAUUAGUUAUAAAGAUGAUAUUAGGGUAUAAUAGGAUAUAUGAAUGAAUUGUUUUGUAAGAAUCACCCUCGAACCCAUCCGAUAUUAGGGUAUAAUAGGAUAUAUGAUGAAUAAUCAUGCUUGUAGCAAAAAAAGUGCAAAUUUAGAAUAAAAACUAUAAGAAUUUUUUUAAUUUUUUUUGGGCACUAACGACAAUGUGCUAUUUUUGUGUGGACGUAUCCGUAUUCGUAUAUGAUUAAAAUAAAAUGUAUGGCGCUAUCAGCUCUAAAUAAAUUUGAUUUCCAAAAGUCAGAAGCCGAUAUAUUGCGUCUUUCUCUAAUUUUGUACUUUGAAUUUUCUUGGUCAAAUUGGAAGGAGGCCGGCCGGUGACUUGCACGAUCUUCUUUUCUAUUCUUUCAUUAAUUAAUUAAAAAUUGAAUUAAAAAGAUGAUAGAAAAAUUAAGAUUGAAGGAUCAGAUAGCCAGGUCAUCAACUAUAGUUCCAAUUUCAUGAACUUUGCUGCAUUAUAAAUAAUAUCUUAAUGUCUCCUCUUAACAAAACAAAAUAUGGAGAUUAUGAGGCUUACAAUCACAAAACUUUCAUUAUUACUCCCAGUUCUUCUUUUCUUGUCCAUUUCAUGGAGAGCAAGAGCCACUUCAGUUUCUGUGCAUGAAAAUUUUAUUCAAUGUCUUUUGAGCCAUUCUCAGCCUUCCCAUCCAAUCUCUCCAGCUAUUUUUACUCCGCAGAACUCUUCAUUUUCGUCUGUAUUGCAAGCUCAAAUUCGAAACCUUCGCUUCAACUCAACUUCAACACCAAAGCCAUUCCUAAUCAUAACCGCUUUGCAUGAAUCCCAUAUCCAAGCAGCCAUCAUUUGCGCUCGUAAACAUGGCCUGCAAAUGAAAAUCCGAAGCGGCGGCCAUGACUAUGAGGGCUUAUCUUAUGUUUCCCAUGUCCCAUUCUUCGUCCUCGACAUGUUCAAUCUUCAUUCUGUUGAUGUCGACGUCGAAACCGAGACUGCUUGGGUUCAGACCGGAGCAACUCUCGGAGAAGUUUACUAUCGGAUUUCCGAAAAAAGUAAAACUCAUGGCUUCCCUGCUGGGGUUUGUCCUACUGUUGGUGUUGGUGGACACAUAGGUGGUGGUGGCUAUGGCAAUAUGAUGAGAAAAUACGGGUUGACAGUUGAUAACAUUGUCGAUGCAAAGCUGGUUGAUGUAAGUGGGAGGCUUUUGGAUAGAAAGUCAAUGGGUGAAGAUCUGUUUUGGGCUAUCAGAGGAGGCGGAGGAGCAAGCUUCGGAGUUGUGCUAGCUUAUAGAAUCAAACUCGUUCGUGUUCCUGAAACUGUCACCGUGUUUCAGGUUCGGAAAACUUUGGAACAGAAUGCUACUGAGAUUGUGUAUCGUUGGCAGCAAGUUGCGUCCAAGCAGCUGCCUGAUGAUCUCUUCGUUAGACUUAUACUCGAUGUCGUAAAUGGCACAAAAUCUGGGACAAAGACUGUCAGGGCUUCGUUUCUUUCAUUGUUUCUUGGAGACUCUAACAGACUUUUGUCUAUAAUGAAUGAGAGCUUCCCUGAACUGGGGUUAGCUCAAUCCGAUUGUAUUGAAACGAGUUGGAUUCGAUCGGUUCUGUUUUGGACUAAUUUCCAAAUUGACGAUCCUUUAAAUAUUUUGCUCAAUCGGACACCUCCAACGCUGACGUUUCUGAAGAGGAAGUCAGAUUAUGUGAAGCAGCCAAUUCCGAAAAAAGGUCUAGAAUUUAUUUGGAAAAGAAUGAUUGAACUAGAGACACCACAGAUGAUUUUCAACCCUUACGGAGGGAAAAUGGCUGAGAUUCCUUCGACGGCGACUCCAUUCCCGCAUAGAGCUGGAAACUUAUGGAAGAUUCAGUAUGUAACAAAUUGGAAUGAGCCAGGGACAGAUGCAGCAAAUCGCUAUCUAAAUUUGACGAGGAAACUUUAUGGUUACAUGACUCCUUUUGUGUCCAAGAAUCCAAGGCAAGCAUUUUUCAACUACAGGGAUAUAGAUUUGGGUAUUAAUCACAAUGGGAAAGCAAGCUUUGAAGAAGCAAAAGCUUAUGGUAUCAAAUAUUUCUUGGGUAAUUUUAACAGGUUGGUGAAAAUCAAGACCAAGGUUGAUCCUGGGAAUUUCUUUCGGAAUGAACAAAGCAUUCCUGUUCUUCCACAUUAGAAUGAAGUUGAAUAUGUACUCAAUUACCAGGAAUUAAAUGUUUAAUUAUUCUAUUUUAUUGCUUGUAAUAAGAUGAAGAAGAAUAAAAAAUUGUUGCUUUUGAAAAUAAAUUAGAUACGCUACGCAUGUAUUGUUAUCUAACCAGAAUCUAUUUGGCUAUGUGAUAUUUUGUUCACUAAUGUUAUGCUUAUAAAGUUGUAGAAUUUGUUACCUUAAUUGAUGUGGCAUACGAUAUGAUGUUAUUGUAAUUUUCUUUUGUGUUAAUUAGAUGGAUCUUGUGUGAAAGCCAUGUGUAUGCCAAAUAAGAAAUUUAUUGUUGUUGUUGUUGUUGUUAUUUUAAGAUUACCAUGCACCCCACUUCCACUCUACCCAAAUUAAAAUUAUCUCUUUAAAUUUGAAUUCUUGAUUACUAAUUUUUAUUGCAAGGUGUCAAAUCAACUUGCGAAUUAUAGUAAGGACAUUUUCAUGUUAAUAAAAUGAGAAUAUUACUAAAUAAAAAAAUUUAAUUUAAUCAGGUUUAUACAUAUAUUAGAACUUACGCGAGAUCACUAUAUAUAUAUAUAGUGAAAUACUAGUUAUGCAACCAAAGAGGGGGGUGAAUUGAGAUUUUAAAACUUAAGCUAAACAAACCACACAACAAUUCAAUUUAUUGCCUUAAUGAAAUAAAAAUAAUAAUAAAUUUAAUAAAGCACAAUAAUAAAAGAGUAAGGGAAGAGAGAGCAAAUACAAUAAUUUUUAUGUGGUUCGGCAAUCCCGCCUACAUCCACACUUCCAAGCCAACCAAACUUGAAGAUUUUACUAUCCAAGCCUCCCAAGGCUUCAAAUUCUUUACAAUUGACUUCAGGGGUGUCAAUAAACCUUUACAAUCAAGAUAUUAUCUUCCAAUCUCUUUAUCCAGUGUUUCUCACACUUAUACACUCACAAAUUUGAUGAGAAAAUAAAGAUUACAACAAAAACUCUCUUUUAGAGUGGAUAUACAAAUUAUAGCACAAUCAUGAUUCAAUAUAUGAUGAUUUGCGAAAUGGAAGCUCAAUAUAUGUUGUAUGCUUUUCGUUUUUGCUUGCAAAAGUCUCUAAAAAUGAAUUGGAUUUGAGUUUAUAUAGUUUCAGCCCAAAAACUAGCUGUUAUAGACUUUUUUGUGAUAACCAGCUUGUCGUUUUGUGUUAACCAGCUUGCCAUUUUAUGUUACUUUUUUUUUUGAUAAGUAUGUUACCGUUAUAUUCAAAGAUUUGAAUUUUUGCACAUUCGAGUUGCCGCUUUUCAUUUUCUAGUUAGCCGCUUUUAUUUCAGAGAGCUUCUGCUUGAAAACUGAUUUGCUGCUUUGGUAAAUCUGGUUAGCCGCUUGCUACAGUAAAUCGCCUAUUUUCUAAAAUUAUUAUUUUACCCCAAAACUUUAUAAAAUUAUAUUAUCAUCCAAUCUUUAUAAAAACUUUGCAAAUAUGUCCAUUUUUAGAAUUUUAAAACAAUAUUUGUUGAUUUCAAAGUUCUCAAAAUUUUUUAAUUUAAACCAUAAACUUGAAAACAACUAAUUUCAUAAAAUCAUUUUCUUGUUAUAAAAACAUAAUGUGUAAUUUUUUAUUUAUCCAAAACAUGCAAUUUGUUAUCAUCAAAAUCAACAUUUUAUAACCAUAUAGGCGCGCGCACACACACACACACACACUAUGUGUGUAUUCUGAACAUAUGUACAAUGAUUACAAUGAUUAACGUUACUUUUUAAUGUUUUGUUUUAGAAAGAUACUGAAAAAAGAAAGGUUAUUUAGUUUAUUUACUUUUUAUGAACCUUAGUGCGUGGGAAUUUAUUAAAAAAAAAAGAUGAAAAGUAGCCACAUUUUGUAGACUUAUUCUUAUUAAUUAGAAGUGAGUCUAAUUGUUAUGGAAAAAUUCUAGAGUAUAUGAGAGAUAUUGCACUUAAUAAAUGCAUAUAUACCACGUGUAGUUUAAUUAAAUAUAACCAUUAAUUACAUGGUGAUAUGUCAAAAUAAAUGAACACAUAACAUACAUACAUUAGUUGGGUUAAUAAUCAAAUUAGGAUUCAAUCCUGAACUUAUUUUUUACAAAACAAAGAAUCAAAUGUUAAUUUUUUUUUUCUCUUACCUAAUAACCAUUGAUUCUUUUCUCUAUAAAAACUUAGUUUAGCACUAGAUCUUGUAAUCUUCCAUUCUUAUGACAGUGAACAAUACAAAGAAGCAAAAAUAAGAGUAAUAAUAAACACAGGGUCCGGGUGGGGCUCAACAAGUUUUGUUAAUAGGGAUACUUCCACUUGAUAUUCAAUCGUUCCUCUUCUUCUUCCAAGACGAGAGUGGUGGGAUGCUUUGUUCGUUUCUGAAGAAGUUAUCAGGAUCGACGGAAGUUUUCACAUGAACCAACCUAUCGAAAUUGUGGUUGAAAUAUUUUUUUCCCCAAACACUAGCUUCUUUGUAGCUUGUGUAACCUUCGUUAUUUGUACCUAUGUCAAGGUCCCUGUAAUUGAUAUAUGCUGCCCGAGGAUUCUUAGAAACAUAAGGAGUCAUGUAACUGUACAAUUCUCUGAUCCAAUUAAUGUGCCUUUGAGAUGCGUCAAUUCCGUCCUCUGCCCAUAGCACGAGAUGCCCAAUUUCGUAUAUGUUGCCAGCUCUAUGCGGGAAUGGAAUUGCAGACUCUGAAAUCUCACUCAUUUUGCCACCAUACGGAACAAAAAAGAGUUGAGCUGCUUCUGCCUCUACUUUAGAUAACCUCUCAUAAAUUCCUUCCAAUGCAAUUCCAGGCAUCGGUUCCCUCACGUAGUCAGAUUUUGCUUUGAAAGCCCUUCUAUCAGAAUAAUUAGUCCUCUGAAGCAAUAUAUCCAAAGAUUCUCCGCUUUCAAAUCCAUUGAAGAUCAUGAUUGAUUGAAUCCAGCUCGUUUCAUUACAGUCUUCUUUCACCAAACCAAGCUCAGGGAAUCUCUCUUGCAUCAAUGGAAGCAGCUUCUCAACUCCACCAAGAAACAAGGAUUGGAAUAUAGCUUCCAUUGUUCUGUUUCCCUCCGUACCGCUACUCAAACUUCUUAAGAAGACCAUGAUAAAUAAAUCUUCUGGAAGUUUAUGAGCAACGUGUUGCCAUCUGUGAACAAGCUUGGUUGCAAUUUGGUCCCAGGGUCUCCGGACUGUGAAUACGGUCACGGUUGAUGGAACGUCCACAAGCUUUAUUUUCCAUGCAACAAUGACUCCAAAACUAGCUCCUCCGCCACCCCGAAUGGCCCAAAAUAGAUCCUCUCCCAUUGAUUUCCUAUCAAGAAAUCUCCCCUGAACAUCGAUCAUAUGAGCAUCGAUUAUGUUAUCAGCAGCAAGGCCAUAUUUACGCAACAAUAUGCCCCAGCCUCCGCCACUAAUAUGUCCACCAGUUCCUACAGAAGGGCAAGAUCCAGCGGGAAAAGCAAGAUUUGGGCUUUUCUCAGCAAUUCUGUAGUAAAGUUGGCCAAGGGUGGCACCAACUUGAACCCAUGCUGUCUUGUUUUCUACAUCAAUGCUAAUUGAGCUGAGAUUUAUCAUGUCAAUGAUGACAAACGGGGAAUUAUAAGAAGUACGAAAAGAUAGACCUUCGUAGUCGUGACCGCCACUUCGAACUCUAAUUUGCAUGCCGUAUUUCUGGGAACAUUUAAUGGCUGCUUGAAUAUCAGAUAAGUGAAUUGGCGUGAUAAUGACCAGAGGCUUUGGGGUGGCGGGCGUUGAGAACCUGAGGUUUUGUAAAGUAAGUUCCAGGACAGAUGAAUAUGAAGAGUUGUAGUGGGUGUAGAUCACUUUAGAAAUGGAAGUGGAGUUCUCAGAAUGUAGAGAAAGGCAUUGAAGGAAACUCUCAUGGGUGUCAGCCGCAGCAGCUAUCAAUUGAAACGAUAGUAGAAGAACAAGAGUAGAUGGGACAAUUAUAGUGCUUUGAGGCUUCAUUUCUCUGUUGAAGUUCAAUAAGGUGCAGAGGUGCAAGAAAAUUAAUAGCUUAUAUACACCGAUGCAGAGGAUAUUUAACAAUAAAAAAAACAUCUUUAGUAAACUGCGAAUUCUUACACGGUAUCUAGCGUCUGGAGGGAAUUCAAGCAUCUAGAUUGUAUCAGUCAAUAAAUUAAUGAGGUAAAUUAAUUUCUUAAAAGGUUCGUUUGCCUUGUCAAAGACAUUGGGCUCCAUUUUAAUUAACUUUGACCAAUUUUGUGUUACAUUUACUUACUUCUCGAGUUCUUGAUAUUAUCCCUAUCGGACUGAAGAUAAACAAUUUUAAGAAUUUUGUUAUGAUAUAAGCUUUUUUUUUUAGUGAAAUACACUUGGGUAAUUAGUAAUUAGUAGAUGAAAAAUAAAAAUAUUGAACUCUCAAUCAUGCAAUAUCAAUCAUAUGUGACAUCAAAUUUAGUAAAGUUUAAAAGAGCUCAAAUUUAGGGUCCGUCCUAAUUCAUGAUUGGAAAUUAAAAACGUGAAAGAGGAGUGUUGCAUCAACUUGAUUGACGUACAUAAGAGGAAGGCAUGUAAUACACAAAUUUUGAAACAUAUAAUGUAUAUAAGAUCAAAGCCUGUAUUAUAUAAACAAUAGCUAACUAACUACAUCUGAACAUUAUUAGCAAAGCAUUUAUUCAAUGACGCCGUUCCCUCUAGAAGAAUUUUCAAUUAAGUAAUUUUGACUGAUGAUUUAUUAUUAUUAUAUCCAAUCACGUUUAUACCGUAUUCUUAUCACAGAGAAACCUGGCUUUCUGAUUUAUUUAUUAUUUUUUUCUGUUUUUCUUCUAAGAUGAAUGUUUUAUGCUGACUAUAUUAAGCUUCAAGUUGAAUUUUCUGUAGGUGCAGUCAUCGGUCAGAGUUUUCUUUCCCAUGCCGGUACCCAACUUCUCAUCAUAAUACUGCAAAGCUUUCUAAGUGGCCAAGUUUCCUAUAAGUAAUUGAAACAUUCGAAAAGAUUAAAAGAGACUAGCAUAUAUUACAUGCGUGUAGUUUAUGUAGGAUGAAUCUAUAUCUGGUAAAUAGUCAUCGGUUUUCUGCAGUGGUUACUAAAAAUGUUCAGGAAUGAAAAAUUAUUUAAAUAAUAAUAAUAAUAAGGAGACAAAAUGUUCUGCUUUUUUUUUUUAUAACUCUAGAUUAUCCCUUUAAUUAUUAGAUCUUAAUUGAGAUGAUAGACUAGUAACAUUUUGGAAGUAAACGUGUCUGAUAACAUUUAAUUCAUAGUUCAACUGUACUAUUUGGUGGGGUAACACUUUUUAAUUAUUGGAUGGGCUUUUGAACCUGUCAAAUUGAUUGGGCCUCAGUUUGUUUUUCACCUUAAUCUUUUAGAAAAUACUUGGCGUAGAGAAAUACGAAAGAAAGACGAGAGAAACAAUAAAGAAAUGGGUAGAGAGAGAAUGAGUGGGUAGAGAGAGAUGGUAAAAUUCUCUCGUCUUUUUCUCGUGCUUCUCUCUCUCUAGCACUAUUCUAAUUUUUUUUUAGACUUCAAACAAAGCCUUCUUUAUAAGUGAAAGUGGGAGCCUUUUUCAGUUUUGACUUAUGAAUAGUAGCUCUGUUUUCUACAUUAAUAAAUAUUAAAAACAGGGGUGUAAUCCAAUGCACGGUUAAAAUUGUAAAUGGAAAAAAAUAGUAAUAAUUCUAGCUAGAAAUUGCUAAUAGCAAAAGAAGGGAAAAAAAAUACAAAGACACACUCAAAAAAUUUGAUAUUUGAGUAAAUCAAAACUGAAGUGAAAUAAAAAAAUAAAAAACAAAAGAAAAAUUAAUUUUGUCCACCUCCUUUUAAAUCAACAAAUCUUAUAACCAAUUCAAAUUUAUGGUUUCUCUAAUAUGAUUUUUCAAAAUAAAUGCACAUGUAUUAUAAAAUCAUUUACUUGUUGUAUGGAUGACAUAGUACAUAUAAUAUAUUCAAAAAUUUAUUGUCAAAUAAAAAUGCUUGUUACUUCUUUGUCAUUGGCAAAUGUGUCACUACAUAACCACUUAUUGAAUUACACUCGAUCAACAUUAUGACAUAUAUAUAUAUAUAUAUAUGAGUGCUCUUAGUGCAUUACUCUUUUGAAUUUUUAUCCUUAACUUCUUGCCACUGUGUGUUUUUGUGGCAAUAUAUUCGAGUAAACAAGAGAAAACACCAUCGUUUAGUUGUAUAAUAAUUGUGAACAAGAUAAAAUUCAUUGACUCUGCUGAAACAAUUUAAACGAAUGAAACAAUACAUGAUUUGCUCCAGAAAGCGGGAAUUAAAGGAAUUUAAAACAAACGCGUGAAUACAUGAUUUAAUUUAGUUAAUGUCAACAUGAGAGACUCUUGCUUAAGGAUUAUAAUGUCUAAUCGUCUUUUUGCUUCCUCCAAGACGAAAGUGACGGGAUGCUUUGUUCAUUUCUAAAGAAAUUAUGAGGAUCAACCAUUGUCUUCACAACAACCAACCUGUCAAAAUUAUUCCUGAAAUAUUUUCUGCCCCAAAUGCUAGCUUGUUUAUAGCUAGUGUAGCCUCGUAUUUUAUUUGCUCCAAUAUCAAUAUCCCUGUAAUUUAUAUAUGAAGCACGAGGGUUUUUGGACACAAAUGGAGUCAAGAAACUAUGAAGUUUUCUGAUCCAACUGAUGUGCCUUUCGGCUGUUUCACUCCCUUCUUCGUACCAAUAUACCACUGGACUCAUUUUGUAUAUGUUACCAGCUCUAUGAGGGAAAGGAAUUGCUGACUCUGGAAUCUCACUCAUUUUCCCACCAUAUGGAACCAACAUUAUCUCAGCAUUCCCGCCCUCUUUUUCGUUGAACAAUUCGAAUAUUCCUUCAAAUGCAAUUUCAGGCAUAGGCUCUCUUACAUAGUCAGAUUUUGCUUUGUAAAACCUCUUGGUGACAGGACUCCUGUUGAACAAAACGUCCAAGGAUGCCUCAAUUGGGAAGCGUGCGUGGUGGAGCACAGCUCUAACCCAGCUAGUCUCAGUGCAUUCUUUUUCCACUAAACCAAGUUCAGGGAAACUCUUCUGCAUCAAUGGAAUGACUCCAUCGACUCCUCCAAGAAAUACAGAUUCGAAUGAAGCGAUCACCGUCCUGUUUCCUCCCGUACUUGCAUUCACACUGCUAAGAAAUACCCCAGUGAUUAAAUCUUCAUCAAACUUAUCAGCAACGAACUGCCAUCUGUGGACAAGCUGGGUCAAAUUUUGUUUCAAACUUCGGAGGGAGCUGCAUACUGUGACAGUUGAUGGAACAGUAACCAACUCUACUUUCCAAGCAACGAUGACUCCAAAGCUAGCUCCGCCGCCUCCGCGGAUGGCCCAAAACAGAUCUUCUCCCAUUGAUUUUCUAUCUAGUAAUCUUCCCUUAACGUCGAUCAAGUGAGCAUCAACUACAUGAUCAGCAGCAAGACCAUAUUUCCUCAACAAUAUACCAUAUCCUCCGCCGCUAAAAUGUCCACCGACACCCACUGAAGGGCAAACUCCAGCGGGAAAGCCAAGAGUGCCACUCGUGUCAGCGAUCUUGUGGUAAAGUUCGCCAAUGGUUGCUCCUGCUUGAAUCCAUGCUGUUGUCUUCUCUACAUCUAUACUAAUUGACCGGAGAUUUAUUAAAUCUAUGACGACAUAGGGCACAUGGGAUAUAUAAGAAAGGCCCUCAUAAUCAUGACCCCCGCUUCGAACCCUAACUUGCAUUCCAUGCAAUUGGGAACAAAAAAUGACUGAUUGAAUGUGGGAUACUUGCAAUGGUUUGACAAUGACUUGAGGUUUCGGGGUGGCUGCUUUUAAGAACCUUCGGUUUUGUAUGGUGAAAUCCAAGAUGGACGAAUACGAAGAGUUGUUUUGGGUGUAAAUCACUUUAGAAAUGGAGGUGGUGGAGUUGUCAGAAUUUUGCAAAAGGCAUUGGAGAAAAUUCUCUUGAGCAUCAGCCGAAGCUAUUGAAUGAAGCGACAUUAGAAGAGCAAAAGCAAAUGGGAGGAGUGAAGAGCUUGGAGUAGUCUUCAUUUUUGUUCAAUGUAAUUAGUUUGGUACUUGAAAACCCAAAAGAGACCCCUUAUUUAUACAUAUCUCAUCGACAGGCUGGCCGGCUAACUCUUCUGCGCGUCUGAAGAAAGUUCAAGUACUGGCUUGUCCAUUGCCAUUAAUCUCAACAAGAAAUUAAUGAACGGCAAAAUAAGAUAUCGGAAGAUGUAUUUAGCUUAAUUCUUUGACCGAGCAAAAUUUUUCUUCUUAAUAAAUUUUCCGAUUCGUUUUCCUAGACAAUGACUUGUAGUACCAUUUGUUGCCUUGCCAGUUUACGGUAUUUGUCUAAAUCUAUCAUGUAACUUUUAUUAGGUAGUUCAUGACGUUGAUUCUUUCCCUUCAAUUGAUUAUUAUUAUUGUGUCGUAACCAUUAUUCAAUAUUCAUCUAAUGGAAUGUUUGUUUGUUUGCGGUAGCCCAACUUCACAUCAUAACUAUACCGUGUAUGGACAGUUGGCCUUGCGGAUAUUACAAUGAUGAAACUGUGAAUGAGUUGAAACAUUCAACAAAAUUGAAAUUAAAUGACACCGAAGCCAAAGGGGAGAGGAUAAAAUGAAAGUCCUCGAGUAAUUUACAUACGUCAGAAAUGACUAAUUCUCGUUUCUUUGUGCAGGCCAAACUUCAAGAUUAUAAUGCGGAUAGCUACGGAUUUAAUGGCUAACUCUGUUCUUCAAUUGUCAUGCUUCACGUAAUAAGAGGAUAAGCCUGAAAUUCUUGAGCACUGAACCUGAAAGUUUUCAAUCAACGAAUACUACCUAAAACCAUAAGCAUGAAACCUUCAACAAAUACCAUCAUGUGUGAACUGCUUGACAUGAAACUCCUUAACAUGGAACUUGAAAAAUCAUCAAAUGUGUACCCUUUGACCGUUGAACUUAAAAAUCAUUUAAACACACUACAAGCAUAAAAUAAAAGAAUUAAAAACUUUUUUUUCUGCGAAUUAAAAACUUUUCAUCUUUAUGUUUUUUUGCUUCGGGCUACAAAUACUCCAGUUUAAAAUUUUAUAUUAUUAGUAUUAUCAUAUUCGUUUUAAUUAUCUCAAAAACUUUUUCCUCCAUUUUUUUUUCCAAAUGGUCUAGCUGCCACAUGAGGGGCAAUUAUGGUUAACACGACAUAUACAAUUUAAGAUAACUCAAAUUCGACUCGUUUAUUAAUUGUAUUAAAAAUUUCAAAUAUUAAUUUGACUGUUUAUUACUCUGUCACUGAUCUUAUAUAAUUUUUUUUUUCAUAAAAUCAGCUGAAUUAAAAUUCUAAUCUAAUUUAUUUUAAAUAUAACUAAAUGAAUUUUAAUAAAUAAUGAGAAGAAGCAGUUAUAUUGAAUAGAAAUAAGUCAAUAUAAUAUAAUUAAUUGAAUAAUUAAUCAUGUUAAAAGCUCUUUAACAUGAACCUGACCUGAUUAUUAAAGAGGUGAUUUAAAUUCAACCUAUUUAUUAAUCAUGUUAAUUUUGACUACUCUAUCUCUAUUAAAUUUUUAUCUUACUUGUAUCAUGUUAACAAGUCGCGCAAAAAAUUAUCAUCUCUAAGAAUAUUUUUUUAAAAAAAAAAUUAAACGUAUAAGGAACCAAAAAUAAUUGAGUCGUCUCUCCUUCUUCUUCUUAGAACCUUUCAUAUAUCCCUUCCAAUGCAACUUCGCGAAUAGGUAACCUCACGUAAUCAGAUUCACUUUCAAGAACCCUUCGAGGAUAGUGGUCCUUUCAAGUAACACAUCCCGGGAUUCUCUCUUUUGGAAUCCGGCAAAGCAGAGAACAGACUUAAUCCAGCUCAAUUCUAUGCAGUCUUGUUUCACUAAACCAAGCACUUGGAAGCUCUGGUCCAUCAAUGGAAGAAGCCUGUCAACCCCACCAAGAAACAAGCCUGAGAAGAGAGCCUGCAUCGUUCUUUUUCCUUUUGCUGUUGCAUCCACUAGUCUUCUUAAGAAUAUUCUGAGGAUUAAAUCUUCAUCAAGUUUGUCAGCAAUAUAUUGCCAUUUGUUAAGAAUCUUAGUUGCAUUUUGUUUCAGGGUUGGACAGUGAAUACAGUCACCGUUUGCGGAACGGUUACUAGCUUUAUCUUCCAAGCUAUGAUGACCCCAAAGCUAGCACCCCCACCGACCAGGAUGGACCAAAAUAGAUCUUCUCCCAUUGAUUCCCUAUCUAGAAAUCUACCUUCAACGUCAAUUAAGUGAGCAUCAACAACAUGAUUAGCAGCAAGGCCGUAUUUCCGCAAUAACAAGCCGUAUCCUCUACCUCUAAAAUGUCCAUCAACACCCACGGAAUGGCAAAUUCCAGCUAGAAAAGCUAGAAUUUUGCUUUCUCAGCAAUUUUAUAGUAGAGUUGGCCUAUGGUUGCACUUGAUUGGACGCAUGCAGUUUCAUUUUCUACAUCAAUAUUGAUUGAGCUGAGGUUUAUCAAAUCAAUAAUGAUUAAUGGGACAUUGGAAACAUAUGAUACACCCUCAAAGUAAUGGCCACCACUUCGAACUCUAAUUUCCAAGCCAUGUUUCUGGGAAUAUAUUGUGAUAUAGAAGUUAGUCACUUCUACAACCUUAAGGGAGUUACGAUCAGCACGGGGGAACUUAGAUUUCUAAAAGUUAAGAACAAGGAUCGCUAGGUGGGAAUUAAAGCCCCCUCGAGGUGGGAAAUAAUUUUUAAAUAUAUAUAUAAUAAUAUUAUAUUUUUAAAUAAAAAUAAUAUAUAAUAAUAUUAUUAAUUCUUCAUGAAUGUAAUAAUAUUAUUUUUAACUAAAUAUAAUAAUAUUAUAUUUAAAUAAGUUUAAUAAUAAUAUUAUUAUUAGUAAAUAUAAUUUAUAAAACAAUAUAGUAAUAUUAUGUAAAUAAAUAUGAUAUUAUUUAUUUUAUUUUAUUAAAUGUAAUUAUAUUAAAUUUAAUAAAAUAAUGAUAAAAAAAAGGUUCCCCAUAGGAGUGGGAAUUCCACUCUCCUUUCUAAAAAUGAGUGGGAUUUAUAAAGUGAAUCUCGCUCCUCUCUUAAAAUAUAUAAGUAAACACUAGAGUAAGAGAAAUACACGCCCCUCACCCCACUCCAAACGAUGUCUCGCUAUUUCAUUUUUAGGUUCGCCAUUUCAUUUUUAGGUUCGCCCUCUCUUUCCUUUGUUUUUUUCUUAAAUUUCUCACUUAAAUUUAAAUAAAGAUUCUUUCAAAUUUUAUUUCGUGUCGGACUUAAUAAUUGAGAAUCUUUUUCAGUUUUGACUUAUGAACAUAUUGUAUCUAGAACAGCUCUCCCGUUCUUUUCCAAUAAAUUGAAAAUGAUGAUACUGGAUGUAAACAGAUUCAAGCUUGAAAUUGUAAAUGUAGGAAAAUGGAUUUUAUUAGGAUACUAGAAGUAGAAGGUGCUAAUAGAUCCACUCAUUACCCUACCUAAUACCUAUGGCUUGAUUUGCGACUGUGAGCCUUGUGGCACUUGUCCACUGUACUUACGAGAUUGGAAGAUUGGGCUUUGAUGGGCCUACUCUUUCCGAAAUAUCAAGGGUUAUGUUCUGUAUAGUCUAAGAAAUGAAAUUUGAUACUCAUGUUAUCAGUAGUUGAAGACGAAAAAGAGCUUAUUUGUAAGGGUAGUUUUGAAAGGAAAGGAAAUUAAUUAAAAAGUAGAGACUGAUGAGAAAAAUGAAAGCGGGUCAAAAUAUCAUUAGUCGUUUUGUCUUUUGUGCAUUUCAAUGGAUCUCCAAUUCCGUUCAAUUUUGUUUUGAGAUUAAAAUAAUUUGCAGUAAAGCAUUCAGAGUUUUCAUUCUUCCUUCCUUCGAUGGAUUGGAUGAGUUUGUUGUCUUCUGUUCAAUUCAUAUUAUGAUGUUCAGAUAUUUUGACGUUUAAAUUCAUCGUGGACUCUGAUUUCCGAGUGGUGAUUGUAAAUUAUUAUUAUCUUUUCUCGUCGUAUUUCGUUUCUAAAUUUAGACAUAUUAGCAGCUUAAUUGUGAACAACUCUUUCCGAAAGUGAGUUAAACUAUCCAAUGUUCAUAAGAACUUAAUUAAUGAAAGUUCGUAAACAUUAAAUUAGGCUUCUGUUCAGACUCAAGUUCAGACUCAAUUGAAAAAAUAAAGAAAAAAGUCAAAAUGUUAACUGAAUUAAACCUAUCUGAAAUUCAUCGCAAGUAAUUAAUAGAUCGGCACAUUCUGCUUAUCACUAAGUUCAGCAUAUUCUUUUACUCAUCCCACAAACCAAGUCAAAUUAAUGAUUCUCCUAAUUCUCAUUCCACGAACUAAACCAAGUCAAAUGAUGUUACAUCAAUUUAGGAAUUGUACUGGUUAGGCCCUUAUGAUCAGAUAUAUUAGAAGUACAGAAAUCUGAUUCAAAACUUUGAUCCAAAAUUAAAUAAAGUUUCAGGUCAGAUACCCUAAAAAAUAUGUUAACCAAAAAUUCAACUAAAUUAAACCUGUAGUAAUGACUAAGCCAGAGUUUAGCAAAGUCAUAAGCUCUCAUGCUCGGAUGAUUAAAAAUAUAUCAAAAUAACGAUAGAAAAGUCAGAAAGGAAGUUUCGUCGAAAUAUAUAUAUAAAUUCUAAUAUUUGAGUUUUAACUUAAUUUUUAAUUGUUGUAUCACUCAUUUAUUAGAUGCUGAAUUUAUAACUUAUAAAAUUAUUUAUUAAACUAUUCUAUCGUUUAUAAGAUAAAUCACAUUAGUUGCAAAUAAGUUAGUACUCAAAUAUUAGGAUACCUUACUAAAAGAAGCACAAAUAUUAUUUAAAAAGUAAUCCAUGUCAGGAUUAUUCAAUUAAUUCCGAUUGCAACAUCUGAACCGUCAUUAAGUAUAUAAUAACUCCUGUAAGCAAUGAUUUCAUACUACCAUAAAUAAGGUUGUCUUUGUGCACUCUUACGCAGAAAAACAUCGACAAAUUAAAAUGAAGUCUCCUUUCUCUCCCAUCUUCCCAUUUGUUUUUGCUCUUCUUUUAUCAUAUCAUAUUAGGGUUACUUCUGCCGACUUUCAUGCAACUUCAGCACCCGUUGCUGAUCUUGAGAGUUUGAUUCAGUGCCUUUCUAUGCACUCUGAUAACUCCUCCAUUUCUAAAGUGAUUUACACCCAAAUCAAUUCUUCAUAUUCAUCUGUCUUGAAUUUUUCCAUACAAAACUUGAGGUUCUCAACCCCCAAUACCCCAAAACCUCAAGUCAUCAUCACACCAUUAGACGUAUCCCAAGUUCAAGCAGCCAUUAAAUGUUCCAAAAAGCAUGGCUUGCAAAUUAGGGUGCGGAGUGGUGGUCAUGACUUUGAGGGCCUAUCUUAUGUUUGUCAUGUCCCGUUUGUCGUCAUUGAUUUGCUAAAUCUUAGCGAAAUCAGUGUUGAUGCAGCAGAGCAAACAGCUUGGGUUCAAGCCGGCGCCACCCUUGGCCAACUUUAUUAUAGAAUUGCUGAGAAAAGUAAAAAUCUUGGCUUCCCAGGAGGGCUUUGUCCUACUGUUGGGGUUGGUGGACAUAUUAGUGGCUGAGGGAAUGGUGCCAUGUUGCGUAAAUACGGCCUUGCUGCGGAUAACAUUGUUGAUGCACGCUUGAUUGACGCCAAUGGUAGAUUGCUUGAUAGAAAACCGAUGGGAGAAGAUCUUUUUCGGGCCAUUCAAGGGGGUGGCAUUGGAGCUAGCUUCGGAGUGAUCGUUGCAUGGAAAGUAAGGCUGGUCAUAGUUCCAUCAACUGUGACUCGAUUCAGAGUUAGUAGAAGCCUGGAACAAAAUGCUACAAAGAUUGUUCACAAAUGGCAGUACGUUGCAAAUAAUCUUCAUGAAGAUUUAUUUAUCGAAGUCAUGUUAGCUAGGGCAAAUUACAAUGGCGGCUUCAUUUUCAUCGUUGUUUCUAGGUGGGGUUGAUAGGCUCCUUCCAUUGAUGCAGGAGAGCUUUCCUGAGUUAGGUUUGACCAAAGAAGACUGCAUAGAAAUGAGCUGGAUUGAAUCAGCCCACGAUCUUGCUGGAUUCAAUCAGACCCUUAGAUUUGUUGGUUGAUAGGAAUUCUAGAACCAACGGGGUUGCUGGGGAUGCUGCAACCAAUGGUUUUUUCAAAUCAAAAUCGGACUAUGUGAAGCAGCCAAUCCCUGAAAAUGCAUUUGAAGGCAUAUACGAUAACUUUUAUGAAGAAGAUGGAGAAACUGCUUUCAUGCUAUUGGUUCCUUAUGGUGGGAAAAUGAGUGAGAUUUCAGAGUCCGAAACUCCGUACCCGCAUAGAGCUGGCAACAUAUACCAAAUCCUGUACGCGGUUACUUGGGGAGAAGAUGAAACAUCUCAAUCACAUAUUGAUUGGAUAAGAAGAUUGUACAGUCACAGGACUCCCUAUGUUUCAGAAAAUCCUCGAGAAGCAUAUAUAAAUUAUAGGGAUCUUGACAUCGGAACAAAUAACCAAGGACACACAAGCAUCAAACAAGCUAGCAUUUGGGGCAACAAAUAUUUCAAGAAAUAUUUCAAAAGGUUGGUUCAUGUGAAGACUAUGGUUGAUCCCUAUGAUUUCUUUAAGAAUGAACAAAGCAUUCCACCACUUACGUCUUGGAGGAAGAAAAAUGGGGAUUAAAAUUUGUUCUCGUUAGCAUUUAGUUAUGAAUCAGACAUAAUAAACUAAAAGUGUUCUGGUAUACACUUGUAUUGAUAAAUAAAUUUUACUUUUUGUAAUGGUAUAUUCAGCAUAAAUCUAUAUGUUUUAUUAUGAAUAAAUUAUUAUUUUUUUCUCUUAUUAUUUGUAUCUCUGCCAAAAUUAUUAACUAAGAUUAAUGAAUGUAGCAGUAGGAGAUCUCAUGGCAUUUAGGAAAUCUUGGAGGUAACUGGUAAUGAAGCUUAAUAAAUAUAGUGGAUCAUCUGAUAAAUUUUCCUUUUUGCAUUAUGUACGUCUCAUCAACCAACAAAGUAAAAAAACAAAAAAAAAAAUGUAAGAAAAGAAAUCCAACAGGGAGGCAUAUGUGCUCAAGUCGAACUCGAAUUCGAAAGGGGCCCAUAUAUCAAGAUGCUAAAACAGCUGAUAGUGUGAGGAGUAAAGGCAGUAAUUGGGGACAUCUAAGCAUUUCUGAAAAUCUUGGGGGCAGUGGAUAUUUAAGCUAACAACUAGAGGGGCAUCUGAUAAUUUCAUCCUUAACGCCACUCUUGGAGCAACGGAGUUUUUGGCAUUGCCGUUGAACAAAAAUGUCAUUUCCUGUAUAUGCGUUGUUGAAUUGCCAACUGAUUUGACGCGUUCAAUUGUGGAACAGUUGACUUCCCUAGCACAUGGAAUUGAGUGGCACGCAACUGCUGGAAAAGAAAAAGGAAAUUGAAAGGAAGAGUGAUCUUUAAAGAAUAAUAUCAACAAAAUGUAACAAAGAGUUUUGUCCUUCUAUUUAAUCUGGGGAUUUUUUUUUUAAAAUAAACUGAAAUCAUUAAAGUAAAAUCGUGCCGGUAUCUUAUUUAAUAAAUUCUAAAAUAAGUGAUAAUAAUAAAUUCAAAAGGACUACAUUAGAAUUAGAUGGUAAAAUAAUACAAGAUUAAAUAGUUAUCAGCCUACAUUAUGUUAUCUUUGAUUUUUCAAAAAAUCAGCAAAUAUCGAAUAAAGACCAUGCAAGUUUAAGCUUUCUAUUGAAUAGUAUCUCUCACGGUCCACUUUCGAUGCUUAGAGAUGACAAUAAAUAAAUAAAUAAUGGGAUUUUCUUCAUUUGCAAGAUAAGUUCAAUGGGUCAUCAUGCACUACCAUUGACAUUUGUUCAAUUUUGCAUAAGAUAUCAUCUUUAAUAAUAUAAAUAGGGGAGAAGUUAUUUGAACUCACACUAUAAUACACAAUAAGUUCAUAUAACUAAUAAAUUUACUAUUACACUAAAAUUUUCUUUUUUACUCUAUAAACCCAUUUAAAUUCCUAAUAUAUCCUAAUAAAUAUUUUUAACUUCUUUUAUUUGUUUCCUAUAAUAGAUUUCUUAACAAAUCAUCUUUUUUGCAAUGACUUUUUCUUUUUCUUAAGUGAACUCUUAUUUUUAUCAUGAAAUGCUGUAUACAAAGACAUAAGGAAGAAUACUUCACAAUUCACAUUUAAUUAAACUAAUUAUAUUUGAAUUAUAUUGAACAAAAUGAUUAAAAAUGAGUUUGUAAUCUUUAGAUCCUUCUGAAUAAAAUUUUUCUAAAUUAAAAUAUUCAAUGGAAAACUCAAAAAGAAACUUCAAAAUAACGAAUAUGAUAAAGACCAGAGAACAAUUGCAGAGAGGAAGUAGAAAAUGUGAAAAAAUAAAUAAACAUUUAUUUAACUAUAAAGAGAAAAGUUGUAAAGCAUAAAUAUUGGUUAUUUUAGUAAUUUAAGUUUGGAUAUCUUUGUAAUAAAAAUUUUAUUAAAAAACAGGUGUAAAGAAUAUUACCGUGGGACCUUCCAUAAAUAAAUGGCAUGGACAAGUAUGCACCCAAAGAAAUGAAGCUUCCUAACUCUUCAAUAUUCCUAUCACUUGGCUUUUUCCUAUUAUCAUCAUUUCAUUGGAUAGCUUCGGCAGAUCCUACUCAUCAAAUUUUUUUUCAAUGCCUUUCUCUAUAGUCGUCUCUCUUGGAGAAUUCCACGUCCGUUUCUAAAGUGAUGUAUACCCAAAACAAUUCUUCAUAUUUAUCCUUCUAUAAAUACCUCAAUUCGAAAAAAGUGGAGCAUAGUUUUAAGAAUGGAGAUCGUGUCCUUAUUUUUCGGUGCUUUGUUAGUAUUGUAAUUAACUUUUGUAUCCAUUUUCUUAGUGUUCCUGUGAUUUUCUAUCAUUGGUAAAUGUUAUUCCUACAUUUUCGUCCUGCUGGCUUCGUGUCUUUGACCAAUUCAUGGUCUUGGUUGAUAGUUUCUUAUUUCUGCCUAGAAGGAUCCUCAAUUCCCACUUGGCGAUCCUUGUUCUUGGCUUCAAGGAAUCCAAAUUUCCCCCUUGGAGAUCGUAACUGUUUUGAGGUUGUAAAAGUGACUAACUUCCAUAUCAACACAGGCAUUUAGUUUAUGAUAACCCUUUUUCAAAUUUAAAGAUCUCUUGUCAUGAACUAAGAAUUAAAUAUUGUGUUCGGGUUGGAUUUUUCUGAUAGUGCCUAGAAAUAUAGUCAAAUCCAAUCUACCCAAAAUUUAUUAUCGUCGAGCUGACCUCAUAAGUACAACCUGGAGUCUAUGUUGGCUGUCUAGUUUAUAAGUAUGACCUGAUUUAAGAAUACAACCUUAAACCUUCAUGAGCGACCAAGAAACUCGUCAGUCUAAUCUAGAAGUGAAGUAAUCUGACCUUAAAAUUCAUUUGUCCGACCCAAGAAUUAGCUCGACAUGGAAGAUUAUUGGUUAAAAUAACAUGGCCUAAUCUCUAGGAAAGUUGUGUGCCACGAUUUAUUUAAACCGCCUCCAAAUGACAACUGCUUGCAACUGCUGAAACAAGUGAGCUUGAAAUAAGGAGGCAACCACCCACGACUAGGAGCCUAUUUAAGCUAAAAAUGACAAUAGAGGUAGGGGUUAGAAAAAUCAACCAAAAAUUCUACAAGUCACAUAUCUAAAAGCCUUAACAUUCCUUACAAGAUUUUUAGCUCCUCUACCGGAAAAAUUCUUUGAUUAUCACUUUUCACGAUUCUUCCUUCUCAUUUUUCUUUCUCUUAUAUACAAUUUUUUACUUAAGCAUCGAUGGUCUACGUUAGAACCCCACCGACGUAUCCUAACCCUAUCUCUUGAGACACAUGCCAUUCCUAGGCUUUUGUUAUCCUUUACUUUCUAGCACUAAGUCUCUAUUUUCUUAUCUUGUCCAGGUACGUUUCUCUCCUUUCACUCCUUACUUCCUUCAUUCCUUUGUUUUGCUUACAUCCUCUAUGGAUCCAUUUGAAACUGAACUUAAUGGAUCGGGUAAAAAUAUCGAUCAUUUAGAUGCAUCAUCAUGAGUCUCACGCCCCAUCAUUCUUCUAUUUCUCCAUUCUCUACAGCCACAAUCAACAUUGCUGAUGAUGACGACCAAAAUGCUCCUGUACAGGGAUUUUUAACUGCAUGAUUAGAGUCAAAGGCCAUUUUUGGACAAUCAACAAAUUGAGGAAAGACUUACACAUUCCUGACUUCGUGGAGCUCAGAAUACCUAACCCUAACGAAAAUAUGGCAUGAUCUCCCGAGGGUUUUGUAGCCUUAUAUCUUUCUAUGUUUAAAGUGGGAAUUAGGUUAGAUUUUCACCUUUUUUUUUCGUUCAUUCUUGAGAUCACUCGAUAUUACCCUAACGUAGCUUAACCUUAUAGUUCAUAAGGAUUUUUUCAAUCACUAUGUGCUUUGGAGACGCUCAGGAAUUGUGACUGACUUUUACUUUGACAAAUUUUAGAGACUGUACUAAAUCAAAUCAAUAGCUAAAAGGAGUGGGUGGUACUAUUUAACCAGUUGGGCUCGUUUCAAUCCUAUUAUCCCUCCUGAAUUCCUUGGCCAUAUUAAGGGUUAAAAAGAUUCUUAAUUUUUUGCUUCUGGGAUCUAGAGCUCUAGUGAGCAUAAUAAUGAUGGUCUUAUUUAAACUUCUUUUAAAUUCUAAGUUGCUUUUUCAUCUUCGUGAUUUUAGCAUACUAUUUUUCUCAUCUAAUUUUAUUUUUUCACAAUGAUUUGGCGAUCUCCCCCUAUUUUGUUUGCGGGAUUGCUUGGCAACACUGAGCUUACCCGAGCCAGCAUCUUACAAUUGGAUGUGAUUUACUUGUUUAGCAGGACCUCCUACCAAGAAGUUGGACUUAUAUCUAUUGGUACAUAGAACAUUGACUUCCUUAUCUUUUUUCUUUUCAUAUAUAUAUACAGUUGCCAUGUCUCAAAUAGACGACAAAAAGAGAAAGAGGCCAGUGAGUUUGCCUUAUAGGAGACUUACUCCUCGAAGGUGUACAUGUAUUCCUCUUCCAACCCAAUCCUAAUCUUCUGAAGAUCUAUCGACUCAGCCUACCUUCCAUAAGGCUCCACAAGCUGGAGAGAAAAAGCCAUCUACUGACUGGCCUUGGAUUUUUUUAGUACACUUCAACUUUCUUGUUCGAAGACCUCGUAAACUGGACUCUUUAACACAACGAGCUCGAACAUAAUUUGGCUAAUCUCUCCUCCUUGAAGAGAGCGUUUUCUCACCAAGAGUGCCUUCGUCUAAGACAAACCGAUCAAGAGGUUUUAUUUACAGUUUCAUUGGCAAUGUACAUAAGGUUGGUUUCUAUGAUUCCUCCUCUUAUUUUACUAUCACCUUCCCCUCCACACUUUGUGUUAGUGAAAAUUCUUCUUUGAACAUUCACAACCUACUAUGAACAUAAUCCAAGUGUACAAAUUGAGCCGCGACUCGAAAGAUGAAUGUUUCAAAGCUAUAGGUGAGAAAAACAAAAUGGCAAGCGAAAUCAAUCAACUGAAGUUUGAAUAUGCUUCCCUUAAAUCUAUUCACGAGUCUCUCAAAUUGGAGCACAUCAUUAAUAAUAAGGUGAUCAAGAACAAAGAGGAGGAGCCAAACCGUUUAAGGCAACAACUUCAAGAUAGUUAUCAGAGCCAUGUUAAGGCUUACCUCAAUUCGAAAAUAGUGGGCCAUUGUUUUAAGAGUAGGGAUUGUGUUCUUAUUUUUCAGUGCUUUGUUAGUCUUGUAAUCAACUUUUGUAUCCAUUUUCUUAGUGUUCUUGUGAUUUCCCAUCAUCGGUAAAUAUUAAUUUUUUACUAUAUUAUUAAUAAUAAUGUUUCAUUUGUGUCGCUCUUAUCAAUCAUUUUUAAUUUACAUAAUUAAAAUUAAAAUUAAUAAAAAAUUAUGAUUUAUAUAAUUAAUAAUAUUAAUAAUUAUUAUUAAUUUACAAAUAUAAUCAAAUAAAUAUUUUAUUUUUAAAUAUAUUUGUAUUAAUUUUGUAACUAAAGACUAUAAUUCUUUAAAUAAGGGUAAAAUUGUAGUUUGAAACUAUUUACUUCUAAUUUAAGAGAAAAUAAAUACAUGAAUUAUUUUGAUUCCGAUUCUAUACUCUCAUUUCAGCGUAAAUAAAUAACCUACUGUGACUCUCACUUCGCACUCUCAGUCCUAGGAUUUCCACUCCUUAAGAUUUUUACUUCAAUCUAAAAUGUAAACUCUACCUCAGUGUUGUUUAAUUAAUGUUUCAAGAAAAGAAUCCCAUGUCAUCAGUGCCUUUCACUCAAAGACAAAAAUGAUUUUGAUGCUCUUAGAUUACAUAUAAUGAAAUAACUAAGUCGUUUACCUUAAAAAACGUAAAAUUUUAGAACACAUUAUAGAUGUUAUGUCAAUCAUACAAUGAGUAAAUAAUACUCUGAUAUGUAUACAUUUAUUUUAAAAAAUAUUAUGCAUGUGGUGGUUAUUAAAUUUAAGUACACAUAUUAUAUAUGUGUUAAUUAAUUGUAUUGCCUUUGUUGUAUUCUCGAUGUGUUUUAUAAUUCUUCAUCAAAGCAGAUUCUUUUUGUUUGGAUCAAUUAAUUUAAAAUAAUGACCAUAUAAAUUCACGCAGAAACAAAAAGUCAAUAAAUUCAUUCAGAAACUUUAUAUAGAGUAAGAUUUUUUUAAUAAAUCACAACAUCACAUUUGUAAUAGUUAAUGUCAUAUCAAUGAUAUUACUAACUUGUUGAUAUCAAAUGAUAACGUAGUAUGAAAUUGCUAACAAAAAUGUUACAACCCCUUCAAUAUAAAACCCCAUUUUUUCUUUAAUAAGAUUUUAAAAAAAUAAAAUUACAUAAAACUAAAAAUAAAAAAUUAAUUAAACCCCAAUUCAUUUAUUUUCAUUUUGAUAUAAUUUCUUCAUAGAUCACACCCACACAUUCAUAAAUUCCUCAUUUUCAGUAUCUAAUACAUAUUGGAUUCAAAAUUUUUUUUUCAGUUCCAAAAUGAUUUUCAAGUAAUUAAGAAAAAAAUUGUAAGUAGUUUAUCAAAUAUUUAUUUUAAAAAAAACAAACUUUAUCAAAUCUGUUGAAUUUUCUUCACAAAAUGGGUGAAUAUUUCUUUUACAGAAAAAUAUAAUAAGAAACUAAGGGCAAAAUAACAAAAAUCCAAUAAAGUAAUUGAUUGUGUUUGAAGAGUUAGUAACAACAAAAAAUUAUAUUCGAUUUUAAUUAAAUUUAUUUGAUCUUUUAUGUAAGUUUUAACUAAGAAGAGCUAUCAACAUCAAAAUGGGUUUUCGAAUGAGUUUUGGAUGUGCCAAUAGCAACACUCAUGCGACAAGUACAGUGACUAGUUUUACCAAAAUCAAGCUAUAAUAAGGGAGAGGGCUACCUUACAGAUUCUGUAAGGUACAACCCUCACAUGAAUAGUAUUUGGCUGUGGAUCCGUGUGGGACUCAUAACCAAGUUUGUUAGUAAGCUCCUAACCUCCUUAGGGAUGAUAAUUAUAUCCGUAAAUCCAUAAAUUCGUCCAAAUCCACCCGUCAAAACCUGCCCGCUACGGAUAAUUUUACCCAUUGCGGGCGGAUUUAGUAUUAUAAACUAAAACCCGCACAUGGAUGCGGGUGGGUUUGAUAUUAACCUUAUAUCCGAUGGAUACCCGCAUGGAUAUCCACUAAACCCGCAAUAUUUUUUUCAAAUAUUUUUAAUUUAAUUUUAAUAUAAAAAUGUAGAAAGAAAAUAAUGUCAUUAUUCAAAUUAUCAAAUAGCCAAAGGCUCAAAGCUGUGUAUGUGUGUAUGUGGCCCAUCUCCCAUUCUAAAGUCAUAACCUAAAGAAAACUAAAGACAUUUCCCUUCGAAUUAGUAUUUGAAAAUAUUAAUCUUAAUUAUUAUUAUAGACAUUGUGUUGGAUGAGUGCUUAUGGUGGUGAAUGAAAUAAAUAUCUUCUCUUGGAGCUUAUUUUAAAUGAUAAUAUGAAAUGUAAUUAUUAUUUUUAGAUACUAAUUUGUGUUUUUUAAAUGAAUUUGUGUAAUUUAUACUUAAAUUUGAGAAUGUGUGUUGGAUUGAUGUGAAAAUUUUAAUUUUUUAUUUACAUUGUUUAAAUAUAAAUUUGAGUAUGUUAUAUGGAAUUUAAGGUUAUUAUUAUAAAUUUAUAUAUUAAACAUUUGUGAUUUUAAAUAUGAAAACCCGCAAAAAAUCUGCUGAGUACCAUUGCGGGUUUAGUAAUUGUUAAAACCCGCUGCGGGUGGGUUUUUUUAAACAAAUUAAAACUCACUGCGGGUUGCGGGUUGAUUUAAUAAAUUAAAAUUUGUACGAACUUGAAUUUAGUAAUGGCAAACCUGCUGCGGGCGGUGCCCAUUACCAUCCCUAAGCCUCCUACAUAAUAAGAUAUUCCAAUUACGUUUUUCCCGAGAACUUUACUCGUGAAUCCCAACGAGAUAUACUCGUGAAUCCCAACGAGUUAUCUCCCAUAAUAAAAAAUAAUGCAAUCUUCUUGAUCCCAACGAGUUAUUUCCUUCAUGAAAAAUACCGCCCAGAAAUUUAGUAAAAUAGACAUGUGCCCCCCUAAAGUGUCUUAUAAAAUUAUAGAUAGUGUUUAGUGAAUAUGACAAAUACCCCCCAUAACGGAAGAAACUAACUACAACUAUAACACUUCUUUCAUGAUGAUAAUGGAAGAAAAAGAAGAAACUCACUAUUUAUUCAUAGUAAAACAGAUGAUAUUUAUUAGACUAUGCAAGGGGAUUCAUGUUGCAAAUUAAUUCGUACACAUGUAUCCCUUAACAUUUUUGUUUCAUUAUGUCUAUUCACACACAAAAAAAAAAAAAACAAGACCACCAUUUUUCUUCCUCCCAGACGUAAGUGGUGGAAAUUUUUUUUUUUUUAAGAAAAAAAAUCUCGGCAUAGUGAGAGAUGACUUUAUUAAAAAGAAACCAAUUGAAAUAAAUAAUACACCAUUUCAGGGGACGUAAUUAGCCUCACAUUUUAGAAAAAAAGAAUUAACAGAAAAAAAAAAAGAUCUGAAGACGUCGACCCAGAGAAAAAACGAAGAACACAUAAAAAAGAAGUUGAAUGCUCAUUGAAAACUGUAGCUGCUGGGGAAUCCAUUAGAAUCUUCUCUAAGGAGUGGAGUGAUCUCAGAAGGUGGAGAUGGCGAGCAAGUAGACUCAGGACAGCUAAUGCGUAAGUUAUCUAUAAGAGGUGGAAUGCUUUGUUCAUUUCUAAAGAAAUCAUGAGGAUCAACCAUAGUCUUCACAUGAACCAACCUUUUGAAAUUGUUCUUGAAAUAUUUGUUGCCCCAAACGCUAGCUUGUUCAACGCUUGUGUAUCCUUGGUUAUUUGUUCCGACGUCAAGAUCCCUGUAAUUGAUAUAUGCUGCUCGAGGAUUUUUUGAGACGUAGGGUGUCAUGUAACUGUAUAAUCUUCUUAACCAAUCAAUAUGUCUUUGAGAUGCUCCAUCUUCUCCCCAAAAAACUCCGUAAAAUAUUUGGUAUAUGUUGCCAGCUCUAUGUGGGUACGGAGUUUCAGACUCCGAAAUCUCACUCAUUUUCCCACCAUAAGGAACCAAUACCAUGAAAGCUAUUUGUCCCUCUUCUUCAUAAAACUUAUCAUAUAUUCCUUCGAAUGCAUUUACAGGGAUUGGCUCCUUCACAUAGUCCGCUUUCCCUUUAAAAAAAGCUUUUGUUGUACCAUUCACAACAACCCCAUUGGAUUGAGAAUCCCUAUCAAGCAACAAAUCCAAGGAUUGUCCCUUUUCAAAUCCAGCAAGAUUCUGGACUGAUUCAAUCCAGCUCAUUUCUGUGCAGUCUUCUUUUGUCAAACCAAGCUCAGGGAAGCUCUCCUGCAUCAUUGGAAGGAGCCUAUCAAACCCACCGAGAAACACCGAUGAAAAUAUAGCCACCAUCAUUGAAUUCACCCUGGAUAAAGUGACUUCGAUAAAUAAAUCUUCAUGAAACUUAUGUGCAACGUACUGCCAUUUGUGAACAAUCUCUGUUGCAUUUUGAUCCAAGCUUCUUGUUACUAGGAAUCGAGUCGCAGUUGAUGGAACUGUGACUAGCCUUACUUUCCAUGCGAUGAUCACGCCAAAGCUAGCUCCUCCACCACCUCGAAUGGCCCAAAAUAGAUCUUCUCCCAUUGAUUUUCUAUCAAGAAAUCUACCUUUGGCGUCAAUCAAGUGUGCGUCAACGAUGUUAUCGGCAGCAAGGCCAAAUUUACGCAACAUGACCCCAUAUCCUCCACCACUAAUAUGUCCACCAGCCCCAACAGUAGGGCAAAGUCCGCCUGGAAAGCCAAGAUUUUUACUUUUCUCAGCAAUUCUGUAAUAAAGUUGGCCAAGGGUGGCGCCUGCUUGAACCCAAGUUGUUUGCUCCUCUGCAUCAACACUGAUUUCACUAAGAUUUAGCAAAUCAAUGAUGACGAACGGGACCUCAGAAACAAAAGAUAGACCCUCAAAGUCAUGGCCACCACUUCGAAUCCUAACCUCCAAGCCAUGCUUUUGAGAACAUUUAAUGGCUGCUUGAACUUGGGAUACGUCUGAUGGCGUGACAAUGACUUGAGGUUUGGGGGUGUUGGGUGUUGAGAACCUGAAGUUUUGUAUGGAAAAAUUCAAGACGGAUGAAUAAGAAGAAUGGCUUUUUGUGUAAAUCACUUCGGAAAUGGAGGAGGCGUUAUCAGAGUGCAUAGAAAGGCAAUCAAGAAAUAAAUUAUCAUCGUAAUGAUCAUCAAGCACUGAAGAAGUUGCAUGAAUGUUGGCAAAAGUAACCCAGCAAUCAUACGAUAAAAGAAGAAUAAAAGCAAAUGGGAUGAUAGAAGUGCAAGAAGACUUCAUUUCUGUUGAUGUUUUGGUGAAAAAGAGUGAAUGAGACCCCUAUUUAUAUUGUACACUCCAAAAGCUUAAACUACCUCGUUCAACACGAAAAGGUCAAUGAUAUUGAUAGUCAAGCACAUCUAAGUUUACUAUGGUAAUUAAUUAGCAAUUUCCCAAUGUCACAGCAAAGCACAUCAUUGUUUGUACACUUGUGUCAGUUGUGUGCUUGCGCGUCAAAUCCAAGAGAGAGAAAAAAAAAUAUUCACAUCAUUGUUUGUAUGGAAAAUGAUGUUCUCACACAUUAGCGCACAAACGUUUGCACAAAACGGUGCGUUUUUUGCACCUUUAAAAGGCUCUUCGUACGUGCACAACAACACACACGCUCUUCCCAGCUCCUCCCACUCGCGUAUGCCUCCUUUCACUGCAACAAAAACCCAGCAGCUUCCUCAUUCUCUAGACACCAUUCUCCCUCGCUCUCGGCUCUGUACUUCCUCAUUCUCGCUGGACCUGUUUUGCCACACACUCUCGGCUCCGAUGACCCUCAUUCUCGGUGGCUCUAUUUCCCUCACUGUCUCGAUUCCGAUCUGCCUCAAUCUCUCCCUCAAUCUCUCGAUCUCAGUUUCAUCACUCUCUCUACCCCAACACAACCGAAUUAACGGAGCUUGUUAAGGUUAGUGUUCAAUUUAUUGCUUUAAUUUGUAAUUAAUUGAAAAUUAAUUAUUUUGCCCCAUUUCGGCCACUUGGAUUUUGAAUGGUUAUUGUUGAGGGUAUAGUGAUUUUGGGUUGUAUUGAUAUUAGCUUUGGAUUUUGAACGAAUUGAUUUAUUUUUCCUAUUUCGGUCAUCUAGGAAAAUCAAAACACAUUGCAUGUAUUAUAUAAAUGCAUCAAGAUUUGUAAAGAAAAAGAAUUUAAAUAAAUUAUCGUUGUUACUUUCAGAUCUGGUCGUAUAUACGUAGUUGACACACAAAAAAAUCCAAGGGCUCCCUCUUUGCAUAAAGUUGUUGAGCCUGCAGAUAUUGUACAGAAGACAGGAUUAUCUUAUCCUCACAUGGCUCAUUGCCUUGCUUCUAGUGAUAUCCUGGUGUCAUGCCUUGGAGAUAAGGAUGGAAAUGCUGAGGGAAAUGGAUUUCUUCUCCUUGACUCAGAAUUCAAUGUGAAAGGAAGGUAAAACAAUAGAUUUGUGUAAACUUGAGCUACUAUCUUGCUUUUUUUCAUGCUAUUCACUAUUCUAAAUAAUGCAAACUUGAGCUUAAAAAACAGAUUCAUGCAAGUGAUGUUGCAAAUUAUUUGAACAAUGUGAGGCGGUGAUAUUCUUUGUCAUUAGUUCAGCAAAUAAAAAAUAUUCAGAUGUGAUUGACAAACAUUAUUAGAUAGAUAUUAAGUUUGCAGGAGAUAGUCGACAAAAACCUUGAGAGCAACAUUGUUGUGUGUUGCUGUUUUUUUCUUUUGGAAUUGAUUAGUAGCUGGUGUGUCCUAUAUUGUUUCCCUGUCCAGUUGCUUAAUGCUCACUAACUAUUACAACUUUUUUUUUCUCCUUGUCAGUUGCUUAAAUUGGUUGGAUAUUUCUAUCACAAUGUCCUCUAGCAUGAGUGAAGUUCCAAAUCCACAUAUAAAAACUUGUGAAAAGUGCUGCAAUGAUAAGAUCUUACGAACUUCGCACACAAGAGAGAAUCUGAAUCGUAAGUUUUGGAAGUGCAAAGGAUGUGGGGCAUUUGAAUUAGACGACGAUCGGAAGAACAGUGAAUAUACUGUGUGUCGAGGGGUGGAAGAUCGAAAUAUGAACGAGAUUAAAAUUGAUCUCUUACUAGGAGAAGUGCGCAAGCUGGGGCAUCAAAUGGAAUGCUUGUCUUUUAAAUUUGAAUUGCUUGAAAGAGAACUUUAACAAAGUUCGCAACCAAGUAUUAUUGUAAAAUAUGUCCCACAAAUAAUUAUAUGUAUUUUAAUAUGUAUUGUAUUUAAAUUGUAUAUUCAACUAAUGUAUUAACUUCUCUUAUUUGCAAUGAAAAUUACGUUUAUGGUUGAAAUAUUAUUUUCUGUUAUUUGCAACUUUGCAUUAAAUCGUGUAUAACUUUUGGUUCACAAGGAAAAGUUUGAACUAAUUUCAAUGGACAAGGAACCUCACGUUGUAGUGAUACCAUUCCCAGCACAAGGUAUUGCUGAACAUGGAAUCAAGGUCACAUUUGUUAGCACUUAGCACCGAGCAUAUGCACCCCAAAAUCACGGCUUGAAUGCCACAGAAAGCUGAACAUUUCCCCCUUCCCAAUCAAACCAUUUUCAGCUGCAAAACUAUGUUGUAAAUGCACUGCAUAAUCACUCACAAAUCUCUAAGCCACAUGAACAGACCAAGCAACUGGGUUUUCUCAUAUUUCAUUCAACUUGACAAAAAUCGCAUAGACUAACAAUACUCUUGCAAUGGCUGCAAACAACUCACUUUUGUAAUAAAUUGAACAACACAAUCAACAUUAAUCGGCAAUUGCAAUAUAUGCUCUGUAAAAUUUAAAUAGAACAAAUUAAGAACUAAACAGAACCUAAUUGCUCAAAGGCUCACAAAAUUCGGCAAAUAUGACAAAAAUUAAGAUUCCACGUUAGGCUAGGUGAAGUACCCGAAAUGGGGCAAAAUACUACCGCUGAGAUCGAGAGAUUGAGGGAGAGAUUGAGGGAGAUCGAUGCCGAGAGAGUGAGGGAGAAUGAAGCCACCAAGAAUGAGAGAAAACCGAGCUAAGAGAGUGAGGACAACCGAGAAUGAAGCUGUUGCUGUGUGGAGAACGAAGCUGCUAGGUUUUUGUUGCAAUGAAAGGAGCCUUUUAGAAUGAAAACCGAGUUGUUGCACAGUUGCAGUGAAAACCGAGCUUUUGUAGUGAAGGGAGAACAAAACGUAACGUGCGUGUGUCUUGUUUGGUGCACGUACGAGUAACCUUUUAAAGGUUGCCGUUUUGUGCAAAUCUUUGUGCUCAUAUUUGUGAGAAUAUCGCUAAUGUUGUUUGUAUACUUGUGUGCUUGCGCGUUAUUUUCGUCUGCAUUAAUUAUCUCUCUUAGUCUCCCUUUUGUUCUCCGCGACGUUGAAUGCUCCCAGUUUGUCAAUUUUGACUUUGAAUUUUCAAAUGCAAAUGGCUAUGUGCAGGGAACGUCAAACCAUCGACUGCCUAAAACCACUUUGAAGUUUGAUUUGACCAUUAAACCACGUGUACCCUUGAAAUGACAUUUUUGUUCAACAACAAUAAUGAUGCCAAAGACCCCGUUACACAUAGGAUGGCGUUAAGGAGAAAAUUAUCCGAUGGCCUGCUACUUUUUAGCUUAAAUACCUAUUACCCGUAUGUAUUUUAGAAAUGCUUAAAUAUCCCCUGCUUUUUUCACAUUUGUUCCUUAUGAGUUGUUCAGCAUCUUGAGUUGUUUCAGUAUUUUGACUAACGGCCUCUUUUGAAUUUGAAUUCAAGCUGAGCCCAUUUUUUCACCCCCACUGCCCGUUGGUACAUUUGUUAUUAUUAUUAUGUUUUAAAAAAAUACUAAAAAUCCAAAUAUUUAUAUUUUAAUUCAUUUAUAGCCAUGUAUAAUAGUACUNNNNNNNNNNNNNNNNNNNNNNNNNNNNNNNNNNNNNNNNNNNNNNNNNNNNNNNNNNNNNNNNNNNNNNNNNNNNNNNNNNNNNNNNNNNNNNNNNNNNNNNNNNNNNNNNNNNNNNNNNNNNNNNNNNNNNNNNNNNNNNNNNNNNNNNNNNNNNNNNNNNNNNNNNNNNNNNNNNNNNNNNNNNNNNNNNNNNNNNNNNNNNNNNNNNNNNNNNNNNNNNNNNNNNNNNNNNNNNNNNNNNNNNNNNNNNNNNNNNNNNNNNNNNNNNNNNNNNNNNNNNNNNNNNNNNNNNNNNNNNNNNNNNNNNNNNNNNNNNNNNNNNNNNNNNNNNNNNNNNNNNNNNNNNNNNNNNNNNNNNNNNNNNNNNNNNNNNNNNNNNNNNNNNNNNNNNNNNNNNNNNNNNNNNNNNNNNNNNNNNNNNNNNNNNNNNNNNNNNNNNNNNNNNNNNNNNNNNNNNNNNNNNNNNNNNNNNNNNNNNNNNNNNNNNNNNNNNNNNNNNNNNNNNNNNNNNNNNNNNNNNNNNNNNNNNNNNNNNNNNNNNNNNNNNNNNNNNNNNNNNNNNNNNNNNNNNNNNNNNNNNNNNNNNNNNNNNNNNNNNNNNNNNNNNNNNNNNNNNNNNNNNNNNNNNNNNNNNNNNNNNNNNNNNNNNNNNNNNNNNNNNNNNNNNNNNNNNNNNNNNNNNNNNNNNNNNNNNNNNNNNNNNNNNNNNNNNNNNNNNNNNNNNNNNNNNNNNNNNNNNNNNNNNNNNNNNNNNNNNNNNNNNNNNNNNNNNNNNNNNNNNNNNNNNNNNNNNNNNNNNNNNNNNNNNNNNNNNNNNNNNNNNNNNNNNNNNNNNNNNNNNNNNNNNNNNNNNNNNNNNNNNNNNNNNNNNNNNNNNNNNNNNNNNNNNNNNNNNNNNNNNNNNNNNNNNNNNNNNNNNNNNNNNNNNNNNNNNNNNNNNNNNNNNNNNNNNNNNNNNNNNNNNNNNNNNNNNNNNNNNNNNNNNNNNNNNNNNNNNNNNNNNNNNNNNNNNNNNNNNNNNNNNNNNNNNNNNNNNNNNNNNNNNNNNNNNNNNNNNNNNNNNNNNNNNNNNNNNNNNNNNNNNNNNNNNNNNNNNNNNNNNNNNNNNNNNNNNNNNNNNNNNNNNNNNNNNNNNNNNNNNNNNNNNNNNNNNNNNNNNNNNNNNNNNNNNNNNNNNNNNNNNNNNNNNNNNNNNNNNNNNNNNNNNNNNNNNNNNNNNNNNNNNNNNNNNNNNNNNNNNNNNNNNNNNNNNNNNNNNNNNNNNNNNNNNNNNNNNNNNNNNNNNNNNNNNNNNNNNNNNNNNNNNNNNNNNNNNNNNNNNNNNNNNNNNNNNNNNNNNNNNNNNNNNNNNNNNNNNNNNNNNNNNNNNNNNNNNNNNNNNNNNNNNNNNNNNNNNNNNNNNNNNNNNNNNNNNNNNNNNNNNNNNNNNNNNNNNNNNNNNNNNNNNNNNNNNNNNNNNNNNNNNNNNNNNNNNNNNNNNNNNNNNNNNNNNNNNNNNNNNNNNNNNNNNNNNNNNNNNNNNNNNNNNNNNNNNNNNNNNNNNNNNNNNNNNNNNNNNNNNNNNNNNNNNNNNNNNNNNNNNNNNNNNNNNNNNNNNNNNNNNNNNNNNNNNNNNNNNNNNNNNNUCCCCUGAGGUUUGGGCCUUGUUGCAAAGUAAGAUGGCGAGAAAUUUAUUUAUUUGUAAAAAUACCCCCCUACCAUCAGUUAACUUAUAACAUUGACCGUUUAGUUGACUAAGCAAAGACAAUAUUACCCUUAACAAUAAUUUGUAGACGAAAAUAACUAAAAAAAAAUUAAAAUUAUUGACUAUUUUAUCCUCUUUAGAUUAUUGAUAUUUUCUUAAAGUUCUUACAAGAAAGAUAAAAUUUAAAAUUUAAAAAAUUCUCUUUAAAUUAUUGAUAUUUUCUUAAAGUUUCUAUAAAAAAGAUAAAAUUAAAAACUUGAAAAUGAAAUAGUUAUAAUCUUUACCUAUGAUAUUGUAAAUCUUUGAAAUUGACAAGGAUAAAAUUGUCAAAAAAUAGGGUUUGUGCUUUUCGUGCCAACAAUUUUAAAUUUUUUUUAGUUAUUUCUGUCUACAAAUUGUUGUUAAGGAUAAUAUUAUCUUUCCACAGUCAACAAACGGUUAAUGUUAAAGUUAACUGACGGUAGGAAAUUUUUUACAAAUAAAUAAAUUCUCGCUAUCUACUUGCAACAAGCUCAAACUUCAGGGGAGGUUUUUAAAAAUUACCCAUUUUUAAAUCGUAAAAAAGCUAAUUGACAGUGAUUGAUUAAACAAAUCAACGUGUAUUCAGAAUGCACAAUUAUACAAAGCUUGGAAUCGAGUGAAACAAAUGAUACCCCACCUUCACUUUAUCAAACCCAUCUUCACUUUACCAUUCAGCUUCAGUCCAAAACAAAUAACGCCCACUCAUCGGAGACGUCACUCCUACCAACAACUCCAUCGUCGACGCCGUCGAAUCCGCCGAUUUGAAGAACACCACCAGUCAGAACAUGAACAAGGCCAAUACUAAUAACAAGCGCGAAGGAGUGGUGGUUGAGAGCGGCGCCGACAGAGCUGUGAAUUGGCAGAAUGCGAGGUGCGAGGCGGAGAUAUUAUUCGCAUCCGUUGUACGAGCAGCUAUUCUCAGCACACGUGGCUUACUUGAGGGUCGACACGUCGGUGGAUCAGCUGCCGAGGAUUGAUGCUCAGCUUGCUUAGUCGCAGCACGACGUCUCUAAGUACACCGCUUUAGGCGCCGGUCAAGGCUGGGUUACUGAUGACCAAGAGCUCCACUAUGUAUUCUACUUUCAUAAAGUUAUUAUUGAUUUUAAAUUUAAUUUCUUUUCCAUUUUGUUUGCUUGCUUGCUUUCUUGUCUUAUUAGAAACUUGAAUUUUAAAUUCACAGAGGAAUUUAUUGCGCUUGCUAUUGACUAAUUCGAGGCAUUGUACAUAUUAAAAAAAUGUUUUUUUCCCCCUCAAUUUGGGUGAUUUUUGGGUAUUACAGGUAUGUUUGAUUACUUGAGGAUGAGUUAAUUGGUUAUGAUGAUAAAGUUUUGAAUCUUUGAGUACAAAGUUAAAUUGUAAAUUUGAAGCAGAAUGAGCAAGGGUUUUGUUAGGAGACGGUAAAAUUUUGAAAUGGACACCCGGAUUCUAAGACGUGAGAAGUAAUUCUAGUGGAAAUACAAAUAAUUUGGCGGAAGCUACAAAGUCAGAGAACAUUUCCUUUUAUUGCAAAUGAUAAGAUACUUGAUUGAAAGUGAUUUGGUCUAGCAAAUGGUCGCGGCUCAAUUGGCAGGCAGGCUGAGUUUGUGGAAAGAGCUCUCGGGUUCGAUCCUCACUAAACACGCCAUUUGGAAGGGGUAAAGAGCUUUAACUGUAACUACAAUUUGAAUUCGGAUUAGUCGGGAUUCAAUGUGGUUGCCGGAUACCGAAUGGCUUACACAAAAAAAAAAGAAGUGAUUUAGCCUAUUCUCAGUUAAUGAAGGGUAUUAUUAUAAUUUCACUGACAAACCAAACAGUUUUGUAACGCUUAUACACGUCCAGGGGUAUUAUAUGUCAAUAUAUACAUACAUUAUAUCUAAGUGUAGAAAGGACAAACCUCAUGAGAGGUAUCCAAAAAUUAUCCUUUCGGUAAAAGAUGUAAAAUGUUAGUAAGCGAAUUCUAAAAAUGGAAAUAUAUUUGCUCAAUAAAACCAUAAAAUGAUUUUUAAACCAGAAAAUGAACCUAAUAUUUCAAAAUUAGGCUUCGAAAACAUAUUAAUUUAACCUGAAGAUGAAAGAGAAAAUGGACCGUGCAGCUGAAUUUACUUACAGGACGUCAACUUUUGACUGACUAAUUCAUCGGUGACAAAUAAACAUCGAUAUUUACUAGCUACCGAUGCAAGAAUGUGAGUCGUUAUUUGUAUCUUCCCGAAAUUUUCAACAGAAUAUUCCAAUAACUUACUGUUGCUUUUUUAGCUUCGCGAUAUUUUUGAGCACGUACUGGAGAUUAUUGAUAUGUCUUAUUUCAUGCAGUAACUUAAUUUGCUCGUAGAUACGCUUAAUUAAAUGACGAACCAAAAAUGCACGGCUUCUUUGGGUCACGUCGCUCAUUGAUUUGUCUUAUUUAUGCAGCGAACUUUGAGGCAAUUAAUAAUGAUCACGUAUUUAUUGAAGUUUGAUAAUGAUCUUAUAUGUCAAAUAUUGAAAUAAAUCUUGGUGGACUCUUUCAGACUUGGCUUACUUAAAUUUGGCAACUGUUCUUUCACUUGCGAAACCAUGCAUCCCUUCAUGCAUAGUUGUGAAUGAUUGGCCAAUUUGCUUGCAGUCAAUUAAAAUUCAAAUAAUGGGUCGAUCAAAGUGACCAAACAAGACAGAUAUAAAACAUAUUUAUCUUGGAGUUUUAUGUGUUUUGAGAAACUUGGUCUAAUAGCACUUUAACAAUUGCGGCCAUGACAAUGGCUAAACGUGUGCAUGACCUCGCACACCAUUAAUAAUUUCUACGUAAGUUGGUGAUCAAUCAAUGAGUACAUGUAUACAUGAUAUGUCAUGCCCGAAAUCUAGACGGGUAUAAGGGUGAUCCUUACAUAUAAUUCACAGUUUAAACGUGGCGAAAACUCUAAAGUAAAUAAACUUAUCAUCUUUAUAUAAUUAAAAUUCAACCCUUGAACGGCGGAAGACUUUAAAUGUUAAAUCAUCUAUGAUUCUUAAAUCAAGUCAUUUUCUUUACUCAUCAUGGAUCAAUCUUAAUUUUUGAGAAAAAAAAUUUAUAUACCAAAAUACACAUAUACAUAUUUAUAUACCAGGCAAAUUUAUAAAAUACCAAAAUCUUUUUAAAACAUCGUAGACAAACUUUUCAAACAUAUAAUCUUUCCAAAUUUAUAAUCAUUUAACAAUUAGAAGCAGACACAAACUAGGUAAGUAUUUAUAUACUUGAAACUUCAUUAAAACAUUUAAAUAUUUAAACAUAGUUAAUUAGCUCAUGCCUCGUAGUCCUUAACAUAUGAUGUCACGUUAUGCACAAAGUGGGGUGUGGUUUUUCAAAACAUAGCAUCAUGUUAGGAAAUAUGUCUUCCUCUUUAAUGAAGAUUUGUAAAUCCUAAAUUAAGAUAUUGUUUAGACUUUUCUUAUUUAGUAGUUUUCUUAUUCACGAGGAUUCAUAUUUAAAAAAUAAGUAAUUUUCAUUUAAAACUUAGCUUAUUUAAGGAAGAAUACAAUUUGUAUGAGAAAAAAAAUACUACUUGUAGAAAAAAUAGUCAUUAUACUUGUCUCAACAAUCAAUUUCUCUGCAAGUAGACAAUUUUUAAUAUGAAAGAAACAGUAGUUCUAUUAAGAGAUUGAGUAUUAUUGGAGUUUUGGGUGUGAGGAAUAUAUUAGAGUGAUUGUACUUAUUUUUCGCAUAGUAUAUUUUUCUCUCGUCGUCCUUGGCAGCCAUAAUUUUUCUCUAAUAUAAGAGUUUUCUGUUUCUCACUUAAAUUCUUAUAUUGUAUAAUUAGUUUUAUUCUCUAUUUAUUUUCUGUUUAUUAUUUGUUUGAUAUUUUUUCUUUCAAGAUAUUGGAACAAAUUAAAAUUUCUAACAAGUUGUAUCAGAGCUAAGCUUGUUUUGAAAAGUAAUUAUGCCAGCAAUAAGAUUUCAAUCUGCAUAUAGAAACAGAAAAGUUUAAUGGAAUAAUCAAUUUUGGCUUGUGACAUAUUCAAGUCAAUGGGUGAAGAUCUGUUUUGGGCUAUCAGAGGAGGCGGAGGAGCAAGCUACCUUCAUAGGAACUUGUAGAGGUAUGUGGACAAUUAAGGCACUUUGAAGAAGAUUGUCGAAAUAGAGCAAGUUUGGCAAAGAAUGCUACUGAGAUUGUGUAUCGUUGGCAGCAAGUUGCGUCCAAGCAGCUGCCUGAUGAUCUCUUCGUUAGACUUAUACUCGAUGUCGUAAAUGGCACAAAAUCUGGGACAAAGACUGUCAGGGCUUCCUUUCUUUCAUUGUUUCUUGGAGACUCUAACAGACUUUUGUCUAUAAUGAAUGAGAGCUUCCCUGAACUGGGGUUAGCUCAAUCCGAGCAUCUGAUAAUUUCAUCCUUAACGCCACUCUUGGAGCAGCGGAGUUUUUGUCAAUGCCGUUGAACAAAAAUGUCAUUUCCUGUAUAUGCGUUGUUGAAUUGCCAACUGAUUUGACGCGUUCAAUUGUGGAACAGUUGACUUCCCUAGCAGAUGGCAUAGGAAAUUCAGAGUGGUGCCUAUUGACUAAUUGAGUGGCACGUAACUGCUGGAAAGGAAAAAGGAAAUUGAAAGGAAGAGUGAUCUUUAAAGAAAAAUAUCAUCAAAAUGUGACAAAGAGUUUUGUCCUUUUAUUUAAUCUGGGGAUUUUUUUUUUUAAUAAAGUGAAAUCAUUAAAGUAAAAUCGCGCCGGUAUCUUAUAUAAUAAAUUCUAAAAUAAGUGAUGAUAAUAAAUUCAAAAGGACUACAUUAGAAUUAGAUGGUAAAAUAAUAAAAGAUUAAAUAAUUAUCAGCCUACAUUAUGUUAUCUUUGAUUUUUCAAAAAAUCAGCAAAUAUCGAAUAAAGACCAUGCAAGUUUAAGCUUUCUAUUGAAUAGUAUCUCUCACGGUCCACUUUCGAUGCUUAGAGAUGACAAUAAAUAAAUAAAUAAUGGGAUUUUCUUCAUAUGCAAGAUAAGGUUCAAUGCUUCAUCAUGCACUACCAUUGACAUUUGUUCAAUUUUGCAUAAGAUAUCAUCUUUAAUAAUAUAAAUAAGGGAGAAGGUAUUUGAACUCCCACUAUAAUACUCAAUAAGUUCAUGUAAUUAAUAAAUUUAUUAUUAUACUUUAAUUUUUUUUUUUUACUCUAUAAACCCACUUAACUUUCUAAUAUAUCCUAAUAAAUAUUUUUAACUUCUUUUAUGUUUCCUGUAAUAGAUUUCUUAACAAAUCCUCUUUUUUUGCAAUGACUUUUUCUUUUUCUUAAGUGAACUCUUAUUUUUAUCACGAAAUGCUGUAUACAAAGACUUGAGGAAGAAUACUUCACAAUUCACAUGUAAUUAAACUAAUUAUAUUUGAAUUAUAUUGAACAAUAUGAUUAAAAAUGAGUUUGUAAUCUUUAGAUCCUUCUGAAUAAAAUUUUUCUGAAUGAAAAUAUUCAAUGGAAAACUCAAAAAGAAACUUCAAAAUAACGAAUAUGAUAAAGACCAGAGAACAAUUGCAGAGAGGAUGUAGAAAAGGUAAAAAAAUAAAUAAACAUUUAUUUAACUUUAGAGAGAGAAAAGUUGUAAAGUAUAAAUAUUGGUUAUUUUAGUAAUUUAAGUUUGGAUAUCUUUGUAAUAAAAAUUUUAUUAAAAAAACAGGUGUAAAGAAUAUUACGGUGGGUCCUUCUAUAAAUAAAUGGCAUGGACAUGUAUGCACCCAAAGAAAUAAAAGCUUCCUAACUCUUCAAUAUUCCUAUUACUUAGCUUUUUCCUAUCAUCAUCAUUUCAUUGGAUAGCUUCGGCAGAUCCUACUCAUCAAUUUUUUUUCAAUGCCUUUCUCUAUAGUCGUCUCUGUUGGCCAUGGUCUUGAUCGAUAAUUUUGACCAAUUCAUGGUCUUGAUCGAUAGUUUCUUAUUUCUGCCUAGAAGGAUUCUCAAUUCCCACUUGGCGAUCCUUGUUCUUGGCUUCAAGGAAUCCACGUUUUUCCCUUGGAGAUCGUAACUCUUUUGAGGUUGUAAAAGUGACUAACUUCCAUAUCAACACAAGCCCUUAGUUUAUGAUAACCCAUUUUGAAAUUCAAAGAUCUCUGAUUAUGAGUUAAGAAUUAAAUGUUGUGUUCGGUUUGGAUUUUUCUGAUAGUGUCUAGAAAUAUAGUUGAAUCCAAUCUAUUUAAAAUUUAUUACCGUCGAGCUGACCUCAUAAGUACAACCUGAAGUCUAUGUUGGCGGUCUGAUUUACAAGUACGACCUGAGAUUUAUAUGAAUGACCUGAUUUAAGAAUAACUCCUUAAGCCUCCAUGAGCAAUUAGGAAACUCGCCCGUCUGAUCUAAAAGUGAAGUAAUUUGACCUUAAAAUUCAUUUGUCUAACCCAAGAAUUAGCUCGACAUGGAAGAUUAUUGGUUAAAAUAACGUGGCCUAAUCUCUAGGAAAGUUAUGUGUCACGAUUUAUUUAAACUGCCUCCAACUAACAACUACUUGCAACUGUUGAAAAAAAUGGGCUUGAAAUAAAUAGACAACCACCCAUGACCAGAAGUCUGUUUAAGCUGAAAAUGGCAACAGAGGUAGAGGUUAGAAAAAUCAACCAAAAAUUUUACAAGCCACCUAUCUAAAAGCAUUAACAUUCCCUACAAGAUUUUAACACCUCUACCAGAAAAAUUCCAUGAUUUUCACUUUUCACGAUUCUUCCUUCUCAUUUUUCUUUCUCUUAUAUACAAUUUCUGACUUAAACAUUGGAGGGUCUACGUUGAAACCCCACCGGCGUAUUCUAACCGUAUUUUCUGAUUGGUAGGUAUAUAAAGUUGCGUUCAAACCGACGUUUGAGCUUGGAUUUGUGCUGUUAUCCCCUAAAGAAAACAAAUUUAGCUGUUGAGGUCGUUUUUUGGCAUCAACAUGCAGCCUCAUCCAAAUUCAAAAUUUAAAAUUAAAAACCCUAUCUCUUGAGACACAUGCCAUUCCUAGGCUUUUGUUAUCCUUUACUUUCUAGUGCUAAGUCUCUAUUUUCUUAUAUUGUCCAGGUACGCUUCUCUCCUUUCACUCAUUCCUUCAUUCCUUUGUUUUACUUACAUCCUCUAUGGAUCCAUUUGAAACUGAGCUUAAUGGAUCGGGUAAAAAUAUCAAUGAUUUAGAAGCAUCAUCAUGAGUCUCACGCCCCAUCCUUCUUCUAUUCCUCUUUUCUCUACUGCCACAAUCAACAUUGCUGAUUAUGACGACCAAAACGCUCCUAUAAAGGGAUUUUCAGCUGCAUGAUUAGAGUCAAAGGCCAUUUUUGUGCAAUCAACAAAUUGAGGAAAGACUUUCACAUUCCUGAUUUUGUGGAGCUUAAAAUACCUAACCCUAAUGAAAAUAUGGCGGGACCUCCCGAGGGUUCUGUAGCCUUAUACCUUUCUAUGUUUAAAGUGGGAAUUAGGUUAACUUUGCACCCUUUUGUUCGUUCAUUCUCGAGAUCACUCGAUAUUACCCCAACGUAGCUCAACCCUAUAGUUCAUAAGGCUUUUUGCAAUCACUAUGUGCUUUGGAGACGCUCAGGAAUCGUGACUGACUUUUACUUUGACAAAUUUUAGAGACUGUACUAAAUCAAAUCAGUAACUAAAAGGAGUAGGUGGUACUAUUUAACCAGUUGGGCUCGCAUCAAUCCUAUUAUCCCUCCUGAAUUCCUUGGCCAUAUUAAGGGUUGAAAAGAUUCUUAAUUUUUUACUUCUGGGAACUGGAGCUCUAAUAAGCAUAACGAUAAUGGUCUUAUUUAAACUUCUUUUAAAUUCCAAGUUGCUUUUUCAUCUUCGUGAUUUUAGCAUACUAUUUUUGUCAUCUAAUUUUAUUUUUUCACAAUGAUUUGGCGAUCUCCCCCUGUUUUGUUCGUGGGAUUGCUUGGCAACAUUGAGCUUGCCCGAGCCAGCAUCUUACAAUUGGAUGUGAUUUGCUUGUUUAGUAGGACCUCCUACCAAGAAGUUGGACUUAUCUCUAUUGGUACAUAGAAAAUUGACUUCUUUAUCUUUUUUUCUUUUCGUAUAUAUAUACAGUUGCCACGUCUCAGAUAGACAACAAAAAGAGAAAGAGGCCAGUGAAUUUGCCUCCUAGGAGACUUACUCCUCGAAGGUGUACAAGUAUUCCUCCUCCAACCCAAUCCUAAUCUUCUGAAGAUCCAUCGACUCAGCUUACCUUCCAUAAGGCUCCACAAGCUGGAGAGAAAAAAUCAUCUGCUGACUGGCCUAGGAUUUUUUUAGUACACUUCAACUCUGUUGUUCAAAGACCUCGUAAACUGGACUCUUUAACCCAACGUGCUCGAACAUAAUUUGGCUAAUCUCUCCUCCUUGAAGAGAGCGUUUUCUCACCAAGAGUGCUUUCGUCUAAGACAAACCGAUCAAGAGGUUUUAUUUACAGUCUUCAUUGGCAAUGCACAUAAGGUUGGUUUCUAUUAUUCCUCAUUUGAUUUUACUAUCACAUUCCCCUCCACACUUUGUGUUAGUGAAAAUUCUUCUUUGAACAUUCACAACCUACUAUGAACAUGAUCAAAGUGUACAAAUUGUACCACGACUUGAAAGAUGAAUGUUUCAAAACUAUAGGUGAGAAAAUCAAAAUGGCAAGCGAAAUCAAUCAAUUAAAGUUUGAACCUGCUUCCCUUAAACCUAUUCACGAGUCUCUCAAAUUGGAGCACAUCAUUAAUAAUAGGGUGAUCAAGAACAAAGAGGAGGAGCCAAACCAUUUAAGGCAACAACUUCAAGAUAGUUAUCAGAGCCAUGUUAAGGCUUACCUCAAUUCGAAAAUAUUGGAGCAUUGUUUUAAGAGUAGGGAUUGUGUUCUUAUUUUUCGGUGCUUUGUUAGUCUUGUAAUCAACUUAUGUAUCCAUUUUCUUAGUGUUCUUGUGAUUUCCCAUCAUCGGUAAAUAUUAAUUUUCUACUAUAUUAUCAAUAAUAAUAUUUCAUUUAUGUCGCACUUAUCAAUAAUUUUUAAUUUAUAUAAUUAAAAUUAGAAUUAAUAAAAAAAUUAUGAUUUAUAUAAUCAAUAAUAUUAAUAAUUAUUAUUAAUUUACAAAUAAAAUCAAAUAAACAUUUUAUUUUUAAAUAUAUUUGUAUUAAUUUUGUAACUAAAGACUAUAAUUUUUUAAAUAAACAUAAUAAGAAACUAAGGGCAAAAUAACAUAAAUCCAAUAAAGUAAUUGAUUGUGUUUGAAGAAUUAGUAACAACAAAAAAAUAUAUUCGAUUUUAAUUAAAUUUAUUUGAUCUUUUAUGUAAGUUUUAACUAAGAAGAGCUAUCAACAUCAAAAUGGGUUUUCUGAAUGAGUUUUGGAUGUGCCAAUAGCAACACUCAUGUGACAAGUACAGUGCCUUAUUUUACCAAAAUCAAGCUAUAUUAAGGGAUCAGGCUACGGUGCAACAGUGGCACCGUGCCACAGUUGCACCUAGCCGUUGGAUGCAGUUGGAUUGGUGGGAUCCACUGACAUCUAACUGCAUCCAACGGUUAGGUGCAACAGUAGCACGGUGCCACUGUUGCACCUAAGGGGAAUCCUAUAUUAAGAUAAGAUAUUACAAUUACGUUUUUCCCGAGAACUUUACUCGUGAAUCCCAACGAGAUAUACUCGUGAAUCCCAACGAGAUAUCUCCCAUAAUAAAAAAUAAUGCAAUCUUCUUGAUCCCAACGAGUUAUUUCCUUCGUGAAAAAUACCGCCCAGAAAUUUAGUAAAAUAGACAUGUGCCACCCUAAAGUGGCUUAUAAAUUUUAGAUAGUGUUUAAUGAAUAUGACAAAUACCCCUAUAACGGAAGAAACUAAUUACAACUAUAACACUUCUUUCAUGAUAAUAAUGGAAGAAAAAGAAGAAACUCACUAUUUAUUCAUAGUAAAACAGAUGAUAUUUAUUAGACUAUGCAAGGGGAUUCAUGUUGCAAAUUAAUCAUUACAAAGGAUUUUAUUUACCAAUUCGUACACAUGUAUCCCUUAUCAUUUUUGUUUCAUUAUGUCUAUUCAUACACAAAAAAAAAAAAAAGACCACUAUUUUUCUUCCCACACCGAUAUGCUCACAUCAAUAAAAGAAAUUACUGUAGCUUCAAAAUACACGCACUCGUCUUGCUCAAACGCAAGCGCAGACUACACACACUCGUCUUACUUAAACGCAAACGCAGGGGAGACACAGACUUGCCGUGGAAAGUUUGUUUGACAUAAGUUUUCUGGCGUGGAAAUUUAUUGUCACAACAUUACAUCCGACGCUUUCAUGGCUAAUGAUAGCCACCUCUGCUACACUUAUGCUCUCGCUGAAAAAAUCAUUAAAAAAAAAAGAAUAUAAGUAGGAAGUUGUUGGCCCGAUGUUCGAACGCAAAAAACCCAACCGCCAAGAAGAGAGUGAAAAACGGGCCAUGAUAAUUGUUAAAAUACCCAUUUUUAUGACCCUAAAAUGACCGGAAAGCGGAAGCCUCGGCAUUGAGAUUUGGUGGUCCACUGCCGGCUGUAUCACUCUCACCAUGUCUUCGCAUGGCUGAUCGUGAGAGAGUCUUUGGAUUGAACCGUCAACAUCUCAUGAUUAUGCCCAUUUAAGUCCGUCAAAACCAAUUUCCAAAUCUGAAACUGGGCUGUCGCCUGAAUCUUGUUUCAUUGCCUGGUUUUCCCCCAACGGAUCAGCAGCUCAUAACUCACAACAGAACAGCAUUUUGCUAAUUUCCAAUAGCAAUUUCUUACAGCAAUUAUCAACACAAUUUGACUUCGCAGUCGAAUCUUCACAUAUUCGUAAUUAGCACAACCAAAAUUGGGCAUUAAUAAAACCAAUUACCUCCACGAAUCGAUUACGGCGGGCGACAAGUGAAGCUACAGCUAUCGACGGGGCAGAGAGAGAGGGAGCCAACGAUCAAAUGUGGAGAGACCCACGACGAGAGAGAGAGAGAGAGCGCCGGCAGAUAGAGCAAUCCCACGAUGCGUUUUGUGAGUUUGCGUGAGAGUUGUGAGGCGAGUGUGUGUUUUGAAGCAACAGUAACUUAUUUUAUAAUUAGCACAAAACGAAUCGAUUUGUGAACUGCGGUGCUUAGCGUGGGAUGAAUCUCAUUUUCCUUUUUCUUCCUCUCAGACGUAAGUCGUGGAAUUUUUUUUUUUUAAAGAAAAAAAAGCUCGGCAUAGUGAGAGAUAACUUUAUUAAAAAGAAAUCAAUUGAAAUAAAUAAUACACCAUUUCACGGGACGUAAUUAGCCUCACAUUUUAGAAAAAAAAAUUAACAGAAAAAAAAAGAUCUAAAGACGUCGACCCAGAGAAAAAACGAAGAAGACAUAAAAAAGAAGUUGAAUGGUCAUUGAAAACUGUAGCUGCUGGGGAAUCCAUUAGAAUCUUCUGUAAGGAGUGGAGUGGUCUCAGAAGGUGGAGAUGGCGAGCAAGUAGACUCAGGACAGCUAAUGCGUAAGUUAUCUAUAAGAGGUGGAAUGCUUUGUUCAUUUCUAAAGAAAUCAUGAGGGUCAACCAUAGUCUUCACAUGAACCAGCCUUUUGAAAUUGUUCUUGAAAUAUUUGUUGCCCCAAACGCUAGCUUGUUCAACGCUUGUGUAUCCUUGGUUAUUUGUUCCGACGUCAAGAUCCCUGUAAUUGAUAUAUGCUCCUCGAGGAUUUUUUGAGACAUAGGGUGUCAUGUAACUGUAUAAUCUUCUUAACCAAUCAAUAUGUCUUUGAGAUGCUCCAUCUUCUCCCCAAAAAACUCCGUAAAAUAUUUGGUAGAUGUUGCCAGCUCUAUGUGGGUACGGAGUUUCAGACUCCGAAAUCUCACUCAUUUUCCCACCAUAAGGAACCAAUACCAUGAAAGCUAUUUGUCCCUCUUCUUCAUACAACUUAUCAUAUAUUCCUUCGAAUGCAUUUACAGGGAUUGGCUCCUUCACAUAGUCCGCUUUCCCUUUAAAAAAAGCUUUUGUUGUACCAUUCACAACAACCCCAUUGGAUUGAGAAUCCCUAUCAAGCAACAAAUCCAAGGAUUGUCCCUUUUCAAAUCCAGCAAGAUUCUGGACUGAUUCAAUCCAGCUCAUUUCUGUGCAGUCUUCUUUUGUCAAACCAAGCUCAGGGAAGCUCUCCUGCAUCAUUGGAAGGAGCCUAUCAACUCCACCGAGAAACACCGAUGAAAAUAUAGCCACCAUCAUUGAAUUCACCCUGGAUAAAGUGACUUCGAUAAAUAAAUCUUCAUGAAACUUAUGUGCAAUGUACUGCCAUUUGUGAACAAUCUCUGUUGCAUUUUGAUCCAAGCUUCUUGUUACUAGGAAUCGAGUCACAGUUGAUGGAACUGUGACUAGCCUUACUUUCCAUGCGAUGAUCACGCCAAAGCUAGCUCCUCCACCACCUCGAAUGGCCCAAAAUAGAUCUUCUCCCAUUGAUUUUCUAUCAAGAAAUCUACCUUUGGCGUCAAUCAAGUGUGCGUCAACGAUGUUAUCGGCAGCAAGGCCAAAUUUACGCAACAUGACCCCAUAUCCUCCACCACUAAUAUGUCCACCAGCCCCAACAGUAGGGCAAAGUCCGCCUGGAAAGCCAAGAUUUUUACUUUUCUCAGCAAUUCUGUAAUAAAGUUGGCCAAGGGUGGCGCCUGCUUGAACCCAAGCUGUUUGCUCCUCUGCAUCAACACUGAUUUCACUAAGAUUUAGCAAAUCAAUGAUGACGAACGGGACCUCAGAAACAAAAGAUAGACCCUCAAAGUCAUGGCCACCACUUCGAAUCCUAACCUCCAAGCCAUGCUUUUGAGAACAUUUAAUGGCUGCUUGAACUUGGGAUACGUCUGAUGGCGUGACAAUGACUUGAGGUUUGGGGGUGUUGGGUGUUGAGAACCUGAAGUUUUGUAUGGAAAAAUUCAAGACGGAUGAAUAAGAAGAAUGGCUUUUUGUGUAAAUCACUUCGGAAAUGGAGGAGGCGUUAUCAGAUUGCAUAGAAAGGCAAUCAAGAAAUAAAUUAUCAUCGUAAUGAUCAUCAAGCACUGAAGAAGUUGCAUGAAUGUUGGCAAAAGUAACCCAGCAAUCAUACGAUAAAAGAAGAAUAAAAGCAAAUGGGAUGAUAGAAGUGCAAGAAGACUUCAUUUCUGUUGAUGUUUUGGUGCAAAAGAGUGAAUGAGACCCCCUAUUUAUAUUGUACACUCCAAAAGCUUAAACUACCUCGUUCAAGCACAUCUAAGUUUACUAUGGAAAUUAAUUAGCAAUUUCCCAAUGUCACAGCAAAGCACAUCAUUGUUUGAACACUUGUGUCAGUUGUGUGCUUGCGCGUCAAAUCCAAGAGAGAGAAAAAAAAAUACUCACAUCAUUGUUUGUAUACUUGUGUGCUUGCGCGUCAUUUUCGUCUGCAUCAAUUAUCUCUCUUAGCUCCCCUUUUUUUCUCCGCCACGUUGAAUGCUCCCAGUUGGUCAAUUUUGGCUUUGUAUUUUCAAAUGCAAAUGGCCAUGUGCAGGGAACGUCAAACCAUCGACUGCCUAAAACCACUUUGAAGUUUGAUUUGACCAUUAAACCACGUGUACCCUUGAAAUGACAUUUUUGUUCAACAACAAUAAUGAUGCCAAAGAACCGGUUACACAUAGGAUGGCGUCAGGGAGAAAAUUAUCCGAUGGCCUUCUACUUUUUAGCUUAAAUACCUAUUACCCGUAUGUUUUUUAGAAAUGCUUAAAUAUCCCCUGCUUUUUUCACAUUUGUUCCUUAUGAGUUGUUCAGCAUCUUGAGUUGUUUCAGCGUUUUGAUUAACGGCCUCUUUUGAAUUUGAAUUCAAACUGAGCCCAUUUUUUCACCCCCACUGCCCGUUGGUACAUUUGUUAUUAUUAUUAUUUUUAAAAAAUACUAAAAAUCCAAAUAUUUAUAUUUUAAUUCAUUUAUAGCCAUGUAUAAUAGUACUUUUACUUUCAUAAAAUUCAUCAUCUAAUCAAUAAUUGACACGUGUAAUUAAAUCCAAAUAUCUAGACAUCUAACUAGUAUUUUUUUUUAUCUGCUGCUUUAAAAUUGAAGAAAAAACCAUAAAUUUGGGAUGUCAACCAAUUCAAAGGCCCUCAAUUGCCGAUGAAAAUAUAAAUGUUCGGUGUCCGUUCAAGUUAAAUUUUAUGCCGUCUGGGCUUUGCUUAAUAGUAAAAGCAUCAACGAUGGUUAUUGCCCUAUUGGUUAAGCUCCCUAACGCUCGAGUAAUGUACGGUGUUAAGGAAAAAUAUCAGAUGAACCCACUGUUAUUUAGCUUAAUUACCAAUUACCUCCUAGGUCUCCUGAAAUGCCAAGAGAUCUCCAUCUGUUACAUUUAUUCCCUUAAUUCUUUUGGCGUCUUGGCAUAUUUGCCCUCGUUGAAUUUGAACGAAUUGGACCUUAUUUUUUGGUCCUGUUCUAUCGAACACGAUUGGACACAACUCAGCCUGAUUUCCCUCAUUGAUUAGAGAAAACGGUAGGUUUCUAAAAAUUCUGAUAGAACCCCUUCUUUCCCUAUAUAAUUGAAAUUACCAAAACAAUUAAGACAAUUUAAGUGAUUUUUAAUUUUGAAUGUAAAUCCAAUUAAAUAAGUAAAUUCAAAAUUUCUUUUAAAAAACUUUUUACAUCCACAUCAUUUCAUAAUUUACAUUAAUAUUUAGUUUUUAAUAAAAAAAUUUUGAGAAAAUUAUAAAAGUUUAGAAUUAUAGAGAUAGAAAUAUAUUAUAAGAAGAAAAUAAUUAGAUUUUAAGACUUGCAUGUGUUUUAUAACACAGAAACUUAAAAAAAAAAACUUUUAGAGUGAGAUUUUAUGGGAUCAUGGUUUAAUUUAACAGUAUAUGAAUUUGUAUUUUAUAAAUUAAAAUAGGACAUUUUAGAAAAUAAAAUUUAGAAAGGGUGCUAUAAAGAUUUUAGAGCGGAGUCAAAAACUCCCGUUCUCUUGAAAACAAAGUGGAGGGGAGCUUGAAUGCCAAGAAGAAAAUACAAGUGAAUGUACAAAAUAGAAAAUAAUGAUUUAAAAAUAGACAACACUGCAACUAGAAAGCACAUAUAAUUAACAUCUAUUUCACGGAACAAAGAGAAUAACAAUCAAAGUUAAUAAAACAGAGAAUAGAAACAAAGCAAAUAGAAAAAUAUGUCAAAGUCAAUAAAACAGAAAAUAUUUAUUGACUAUAUAUACAUGAAAACUCAUACUGCAAAUCAUUUAUUACAAAUCAGAAACUCCAACAACAUGCAUAAAAUGCAUAAAAAUAUGCCAAGUCAACUUAAAAAUUUGUAAAUGUUUGCAUUAUCUUUGAUAAUUUUCUCUCAUUGUUUAAUUGUACCAUGGGAGGCAAGUUCUUAUAUAUUAUAGAGGCAAGUUCCUUAUGAUUGAAUUUUAAAAAAAAAAUACAACUCAUUGUUAUAAAAUUUAUUAUCUAAUAGAAGAAUGACACAUAAUAGUUGAAACUUAAGUUAGUACUCAACUAUUGGAAUUCGUAAUUUUACUAAAAAAAAUUGAAAUAAAUGAGAUCCACUAGGGAAAAUAGGCUUUGAAUUCUCAAAUUCAAAUGUGGCUCAUAUGUCAAGAUGCUAAACAAUUGAUAGUUAGUUUAAUGAAUAAAAAAAAAGGGAACAUUUCACUAUUUCUGAAAAUCUAUUAAGUAAUAGUUAUGCUUUAUAAAUUAGAAAAAUAAUAUUAUGAAUCUUAACAUUUGCAUUUUAAUUUAUUUCUCAACUGAUAUGACAUUCAUAUAUUGAAUAAUAUUUUACGAGCUAUAAAAUUCAAGAUGCAAAAGCUGAGAUCUACAUAUUGGGAUCCCUAGUUUGUUCAAUUUUUUUAUGCUUAAUAAUUAAACAACAAAACGUAAAUUUUGGGUGUUAACCAUUUCGAAACCCCUCAAUCGCCAAUGAAAAGAAAUUUGCAGGGUCCAUUCAAUUUAAAUUUCUUGUAGUUUGUGGGAAAUAUUUUAUAGUAAAAGUAUCAUCGAUGGUUAUUAGUUAAUAAGCUCGCUUCCAAAACUCCACAUUUCUCUUAUUCCUUCUAGACAGUUCUCUCUCGCAAGGGAACCUAGAAUGGAUGAAGAAUGGGAUCCUUGGUGAUCCAUUUUGUCACUCACGGGUUGGGUGGGUUUUGUCACUUUUGGGGUGGGGCAACAAUAGAGUUAUUGUGUUCCAGGAAGAAUAUUAAAUCUAAAUAAGGGUGUUAUUGCAGUUCACAGGGUUGGUAAAGUUGGUGAGCCCCAUUACUGCAACUUUUGAAAUUAAAAAAGCAGAGGAUUCCGAAGAACUAAUACGGAGAUGCGAGGCUAUAAGCUUAAAAUCAGAAGAGGAUGAUAUGAUUGACUUUGCUGGAAAAAUGAAAGCCAAAGGAGAGAAAAUAGCAGCACACUGUCUUAUUGGAAAAAUCUAUCAUACACGUGGGGUCUAUCGGGAAGGACUUAGAGCAGCUAUGCAGCAAGUGUGGCGAUCAGUGAAAGAAGUGAAAGUGGAAAGUAUGGGGGAAAAUAUUUUCAUCUUCAAAUUUGCUUCAGAAGGAGAAAAGAAAAGAAUUCUACAUGGAGGGCACUUCAACAAUUGGUUAAUGGUACUCACAGAACCAACUGGCGUAGGGGACAUCAAACAACAAACCUUCACUCAUACAUCAUUUUGGGUGCAAAUUCACAAUGCACCUAUAAUGUGUAUGGACAAGGACAUAAUGAAAUAGAUAGGGCAAAAGAUUGGAAAAGUAGAAGAAGUAAAGACGGAUGAAACAGGGGAGUGCCUUGGUUCUUUUGCUCGGGUAAGAAUUUCAAUAGGCAUCACACAACCUCUGAAGAAAAGGCUGCUGUUAAAACUAGAAGAUGAGAGAAGGAUUUCGUUAAGAGUGGCCUAUAAAAAACUACCUGAAUUUUGUUUCUGUUGUGGGCUCAUUGGGCACCAGUACAAAGAGUGCCUGGAUUAUGGUGGGCAGCCAAAAGAGGAGUUGGCGUAUGGAGCAUGGAUGAAGGCUUUGACAAGGAUGGAAAAAGCCAAGCAAAAAAUAAAUCAUGACCACGGGAUCGGAAGGCAGAAAUCAUCAUCGGUAACACUGGAAAACCAAGAACAGCCAGUGCAGAAACAAAUGGAAACGGGUCAGGGGAAACCAAGCGUGGAUGAAGGAAAGGGGCUAACCCAACUUCAAACGGGUCAUAGUACAAUGCCAAUGGAAAUAAGCCAUGUGGAGGGGUCGGCUCUGGGUUCAUUAAUGAAGAUGGGUGAAACUGAUUUGCAAAAGGGUACAUACUACAGCAAAGGUGCAGAGAUAGCUGGCAGGGAGCUGCUGCCUGGGAAAAUGAGCACUGUAGCGGGAACACACAACCAAGAUGGGUGGGAAAAUGAGAUGGUAAUUGAAAAUGAGAAUAUGGGCACAGUGGGCUUAGAUGGCUCGAAAAAGGACAUGGCCCAUCCACCAAAAACCAAUGAAGUAGAAAUGGCUGGGAAGGGUAAACUUGGCAAAUUCAAAAGAUGGAAAUCACAAGCCAGAAGGCAAGACACCAAAAAAAAAAAAAAAAAAAAUGGGCCCUUUUCACUCAAAUGGCCUAUUGAAACACAAGAGAGAUUAAGCCCAGAUUUUAAAAAACAGAAACUGCUUGGCCAUACCGAUGCUCUAGUGGCAAAGCUAAGGCUCUCACAAUCUCCAUUUACUAAGAAGGCGGGGGAGGCAACAGAGAGUGGAGAAGAUGACCAUACUACAAGCAUAGAAAGUAUAACGGCGGAGGCUGGGAACCAACCCCGCCGACAGCCAUGAGGAUAAUAAGCUGGAACGUUCGGGGUUUGGGGAAUCCCCGAACGCGCCAAGCUUUGGAAAAAAUUCUCCACCUGCACAAGGCUCAACUGUUGUUUCUUUGCGAAACUAAAUUAACUACGGGGCAGGUUAAAACCGUGUGUAGAAGAUUGAUGUUUGACAAUUACUUUGCAGUGGAUAGAAUUGGAAAGAGUGGUGGCCUUGCCAUAAUGUAGAGCUCAGAGAUAACUGUCCAAAUCACAUCCUACAGCCGACACCACAUUGACAUGCAAGUCCAGAAAGCAAACGGCAAGCUCUGGAGGUGCACAGGAGUAUACGGGCACCCAAAAGCAAGUGAAAGAAAGCACACGUGGACUUUAUUGAGAAGAUUAUCAGGUUUAUUCUCCCUCCUAUGGCUUUAUUUUGGUGAUUUUAACGAGAUUUUACAUGUGAAUGAGAAAUCGGGUGGUAUAGAUAGAAAGGCCAAUGUAAUUGCUGACUUUAGAGAUGCUGUAAGAGAGUGCAAUUUUAGUGACCUAGGAAGUACAGGGCAUCCCUUCACCUGGUCUAAUCGUCAAUUCAGACCAAAUCUUAUAGAGGAAAAACUAGAUCGAUUCUUUUGUAACCAGGAAUGGAGGGCCGAUUUCCAUGAUGAUUGGGCUACAAACUUGGUCCAUUGGGAGUCGGAUCACUGCCCGAUUAUGCUGGAAGUCAGAGAAAGGAAGAGAAGCCUUGUCUAUGAGAGGAAAAGUUUUCGUAGAGUUCACUAUGAGGAUAUGUGGAGCCCCUAUGAGGAAUGCCAAAAUAUAGUGAAGUCGGAGUGGUUUAAAUGGAACACAAACAUGGAAACCAGCCCUGUGCAGAAAUUCAAAACAAUUGCUAGAAGCUCUUUAGCCCAACUUCAAUCAUGGAGCAGAAGAGAAUUUGGAGGUAGAGAUAAGAAGUUGAAAGAGCUUUUACGGAAGCUAAAACAAGCUAAGACAGAUGGCUUACAAUAUGACCGGGGAGGGGAAAUAACACAUAUUGAGAGGCAGAUUCAGAACAUAUUGAUAGAUGAUGAGACGUAUUGGAAACAGAGAUCGAGAGCUGAUUGGCUUAAGGGAGGGGACAAGAAUACAAAAUUUUUCCAUGCAAAAGCAUCAUCGAGAAAAAGAAAGAACAAGAUUGAAGGUAUCGAAGAUAGCAUGAGAAAUUGGCAAGAUGACGAAGACGAGAUAGAGAGAAGGUUUUGCGAAUAUUUCCAAGAGUUGUUCACAACCUCUAGCCCAGGAGAAAGCCAGAUCAAUGCAGUAUUACAAGGGAUGACCCCAAAAGUCAAUUCAGAAAUGAAUGACUUACUAGAGCAGCCCUUUACAGCAGAGGAAGUAACAACAUCCCUUUUUCAGAUGUGCCCAACAAAAGCCCCAGGACCAGAUGGAUUGCAAGCUGUAUUCUUUCAGAAACAUUGGAAAUCAGGCAAAGAUGGAGUCCUUGCAACUUGCCUCCAUGUUCUAAACCAGCAAGUUACUAUAGCACCACUCAACCACACUUAUAUUGCUUUGAUUCCAAAGACCGCUAAGCCUAUGAAAGUAACGGAAUUCAGACCUAUUAGUUUGAGCAAUGUAGUUUAUAGAAUUGUUGCGAAAGUUAUUGCUAAUAGGCUGAAACAGAUCUUACACCUGGUAAUAUCUCCAACUCAGAGUGCUUUUGUAUCACAUAGACCGAUAACCGAUAAUGUUAUUAUUGGCUAUGAAUGUUUGCACAAAAUUAGACACAGCAAGGGCAAAAAAGGGGCUGGUAGCUUUAAAGCUAGAUAUAAGCAAAGCGUAUGAUAGAGUAGAGUGGUUGUUUUUGAAACGAGCAAUGGAGAGACUAGGCUUUUCUAAUAAAUGGAUUGAUCUCGUUAUGGAUUGCAUAACCACUUCCUCAUUUUCUGUAAUCAUAAAUGGAGCUGCUAAGGGGCUGGUACAGCCUCAAAGAGGGCUACGGCAAGGAUGCCCUCUAUCCCCUUACCUAUUUUUAAUCUGUGCAGAGGUUUUUUCUAACUUACUAGCUAUGGCAGAAAAACAACACCUAAUUCAGGGCCUGAAGUUCAGUAAGACUGUCACAAUCUCUCACCUGUUCUUUGUGGAUGACAGCUUGGUGUUUACUAGAGCCUUGGUAGAAGAUUGCAAGCGGUUGAAAGCGCUUUUCGAGUGCUAUACCUCUGCUUCGGGUCAGCUCUUCAAUUAUGAAAAAUCAUCAAUGGUUUUCAGCGGCAAACUCCCACAAGGACAGACAGCAACAAUAAAAGACAUCUUUCAGUUGAAUGUAGUCUCAAGACAUGAAAAAUACUUGGGGCUGCCUUCAAUGGUGGGGAGAAAGAAGACCAGUUUUUUCAAUGAUAUCAAGCUCAAAGUUUUGAGCAAAAUAUCGAGUUGGCAGCAUAAACUCUUUUCCAGCGGAGGUAAAGAGAUUUUGAUCAAGGCUGUAGCUCAAGCACUCCCUGCAUACGCCAUGAGUGUCUUCAAAAUACCCUCGGCUGUUUGCAAUGAUAUUCAACGAGCAAUUGCGAGAUUUUGGUAGGGUUCAACAGAAGACAAAAAAGGAAUCCAUUGGGUUAAAUGGGAGAAAAUUGCUCAGGCUAAAAUCAGAAGGGGGAUAGGCUUUAAAGAUAUCUCAUCAUUCAACCAUGCCUUAGUUGCGAAGCAAGGCUGGAUAUUACUUCAAUAUCCCGAUUCCUUGGUAGCGCAAGUCUUGAAAGCUAGAUAUUACAGACACACUGACUUCAUGGAGGCAAAAGUUGGCUCCAACCCAUCUUUCAUUUGGAGAAGCAUCCUGUGGGGGAGGGAAAUUCUUCAGCAGGGAACAAGAUAGAGAGUCGGAAAAGGAGACAAAAUUCAUAUUAUGGCCAGCAACUGGAUUCCCAGGCCAAUUUCCUUUAGGCCAAUCUUCUCCCCAUCUCUCCUAGCUAAUUCCAAAGUUGCAGAUUUAAUAGGCUCAGACCACCAAUGGAAUAAUAUUUUGAUUGAGCAGCACUUUGCAAAGGAGGUUGCGGAGGUGAUCAAGAGCAUUCCCCUACCAAGAUACCCCAAGAACGAUGAACGAGUGUGGCACUAUGACAAAAAAGGUUUCUACACAGUGAAGAGUGGCUACCAGGUUGCCCUUAAGCUCAAAUAUGUUGAAGCUCCAACAAGUUCAACAGGUCAUUCUCACGGCUGGCAUAAUAUUUGGAAACUUAAUCUUCCAAGAAAAAUCAGAAUCUUCAUUUAGAGAGCUGCAAAGGAUCUAUUGCCAACUGCAGAAAGCUUAUUUCGGAGAAAAAUUAUGCAGGAGCCCAUUUGCCAAGUCUGUAAAUCAGGAGUAGAGGAUGCUUUUCAUGCUUUUAUGGAGUGCAAGGUGGCUAGGAAGGUCUGGAAAUACAGUUAUCUUGCUUCUGAAAUGCAGGAAGUUGUGCGAGAGGGCAUUCUAAGUGUUAUGCAGAGCUUGAUAAAAAAGAUGUCGAUGAGGGAGGUAGAAUUUGUGGCUGUUGUCUGGUGGGAAAUAUGGCAUGCUAGGAACAAGCUAAUUUUUGAAGGGAAAAGAGUAAACCCGAUGUCUUUAAUUGCAAAAGCACAAGCUGCUGUAGAGGCUUAUCAAAGAGUCCAUGGGAAAGAGCAGACAAGCAAAAGAAGUGAAGAUGUCAGCAAGCAAGACCAAUGGUGCCCCCCGCCUGUUGGUUUUUACAAAGUCAAUGUGGAUGCAGCUGUCCACACAGAGCAGCAGCUCACAGGCCUGGGGGUUGUUAUCAGAAAUCCUCAAGGGCAAGUUAUAGUGACAGCAGUCAAAAGCACAAAAUUCCAAGAUAAUGUCACAGCAGCAGAAGCUGAGGCGGUCAAAUGGGGGUUGGAAAUUGCUUUGGAAGCAAGACUAGCAGCAGUGAUAAUUGAAACAGACUGUAUUGAAGUUGCCAAUUUAGCCAACAGUAAAACCAGUAGCAGGAAGGAGAUUGUGUGGACAAUUUCAGAUAUUCACAGCUACAAGGAGAAGUUUCAAUCGUUAUCAAUUCAACAUGUCCCAAGAUGUUGUAAUAGUUGUGCUCACUCUCUUGCUAAAAGAGCUUUGAGAAGCUCAGAAACUGUCACAUGGAAGGAUAAUUUUCCACCUGAUGUACUCUUUUACUUUUGAAUGAAAGUUUCAUUUUCUUGUCAAAAAAAAAAAAAAAGCUCGCUUCUGCUGGAAUAAUGCACUGUGUGUAAUGUUGUAUGAAGGAAAAUUAUCAGAUGACCCUACUAUCGUUUAUCUUAAUUACCAGUUACCCUUAGGUUUCCUAAAAUGCCAACAGUUCUCCAUCUGUUACAUUUAUUCCCUUAAUUGUUUGGGCUUCUUGACAUAAUUGCCCCAUUGAAUCCGAACGAAUUGGACCCUUCUUUGCUCCCGUUGUAACCCAACGGGGUUGGGCCCAAUUCGGCAUGAUUUUCCUCUUAAGUAAUGAUAUUUGACCAUUUAUCUCACCAACUAUCUAACUCCCCCUUCUCUAUUAACCAUAUUCCUUCAUAAAAUUACCUUUAUUACGGAAACUUGAGCUUUUGCAGUUGUCUUGUUGAUGCGGCAAAUUUGUUUUCAUAUGGAAAUUGAAGAGUAUUUAGAUGACUGUAUGAGAGCUAAAAGCAUGCUUUAAAUUAAAACAAAGUCUUGGUUCAUUAACUAAUUAAGGUUGAUGAUGGAGGAGAUGUGCUCAAAGCCACGGACCAAGUGGUUUUUAUAGUAUAAAAGAUGAAAUUUCAGAUGGUUAUUAACUUUUAUUCUAUUUAAGAUGGGUAUAGUCUUUAAUUUUAUUCAUUAUAUUUUUAAUCUUCGUAAAAGAAUAAUUAAUUUGUAUUUCGGUAAAGAGUAAUUUUUGGAUACCUUUCUUGAGGUUUGAUUUUGCUACACUUAAAUAGAAUGUAUACAUAUAUUGACAUAUAACACUCCCGGAUGUGUAUAAGCUUUACGGAGCCGUUUGGUAAACGGGGAUACUUUUAUAAUUGCAAAAGUUUAUAAUUUUUAAAUCGUAAAAAAGCUAAUUGACAGUGAUUGAUUAAACAAAUCAAUGUGUAUUCAGAAUGCACAAUUAUACAAAGCUUGGAAUCGAGUGAAACAAAUGAUACCCCACCUUCACUUUAUCAAACCCAUCUUCACUUUACCAUUCAGCUUCAGUCCAAAACAAAUAACGCCCACUCAUCGAAGACGUCACUCCUACCAACAGCUCCAUCAUCGACGCUGUCGAAUCCGCCGAUUUGAAGAAGACCACCAGUCAGAACAUGAACAAGGCCAAUACUAAUAACAAGCGCGAAGGAGUGGUGGUUGAGAGCGGCGCCGACAGAGCUGUGAAUUGGCAGAAUGCGAGGUGCGAGGCGGAGAUAUUAUUCGCAUCCGUUGUACGAGCAGCUACUCUCAGCACACGUGGCUUACUUGAGGGUUGACACGUCGGUUGAUCAGCUGCCGAGGAUUGAUGCUCAGCUUGCUUAGUCGCAGCACGACGUCUCUAACUACACCGCUUUAGGCGCCGGUCAAGGCUGGGUUACUGAUGACCAAGAGCUCCACUAUGUAUUCUACUUUCAUAAAGUUAUUAUUGAUUUUAAAUUUAAUUUCUUUUCCAUUUUGUUUGUUUGCUUGCUUGCUUUCUUGUCUUAUUAGAAACUUGAAUUUUAAAUUCACAGAGGAAUUUAUUGCGCUUGCUAUUGACUAAUUCGAGGCAUUGUACAUAUUAAAAAAAAAUGUUUUUUUCCCCCUCAAUUUGGGUGAUUUUUGGGUAUUACUGGUAUGUUUGAUUACUUGAGGAUGAGUUAAUUGGUUAUGAUGAUAAAGUUUUGAAUCUUUGAGUACAAAGUUAAAUUGUAAAUUUGAAGCAGAAUGAGCAAGGGUUUUGUUAGGAGAUGGUAAAAUUUUGAAAUGGACGCCCGGAUUCUAAGACGUGAGAAGUAAUUCUAGUGGAAAUACAAAUAAUUUGGCGGAAGCUACAAAGUCAGAGAACAUUUCCUUUUAUUGCAAAUGAUAAGAUACUUGAUUGAAAGUGAUUUGGUCUAUCAAAUGGUUGUUGCUCAGUUGGCAGAGCAAGCUGAGUCUGUGGGAAGAGCUCUCGUGUUCGAUCCCCACUAAACACGUCAUUUGAGAGGGGUAAAGAGUCUUAACUGUGACUACACCCAUAAUUCGAAUUAGUCGGGAUUUAAUGUGAUUGUUGGAUACCGAAUGGCUUACACAAAAAAAAAAAAAAAAGUGAUUUGGUCUAUUCUCAGUUAAUGAAGGGUAUUAUUAUAAUUUCACUGACAAACCAAACUGCUUUGUAACGCUUAUACACGUCCAGGGGUGCUCUAUGUCAAUAUAUGCAUACAUUAUAUCUAAGUGUAGCAAGGCCAAACCUCAGGAAAGGUAUCCAAAAAUUACCCUUCGAUAAAAGAUGCAAAAUGUUAGUAAGCGGAUUCUAAAAAUGGAAAUAUAUUUGCUCAAUAAAACCAUAAAAUGAUUUUUAAACCAGAAAAUGAACUUAAUAUUUCAAAAUUAGGCUUCGAAAACAUAUUAAUUUAACCUGAAGAUGAAAGAGAAAAUGGAGCGUGCAGCUGUUGCUUUUUUAGCUUUGCGAUAUUUUGAGCACGUACUAGAGAUUAUUGAUAUGUCUUAUUUCACGCAGUAACUUAAUUUGCUCGUAGAUACGUCUUAAUUAAAUGACGAACCAAAAAUGCACGGCUUCUUUGGGUCACGUUGCUCAUUGAUUUGUCUUAUUUAUGCAGCGAACUUUGAGGCAAUUAAUAAUGAUCACGUAUUUAUUGAAGUUUGAUAGUGAUCUUAUAUGUCAAAUAUUGAAAUAAAUCUUCGUGGACUCUUUCAGACUUGGCUUACUUAAAAUUGGCAACUGUUCUUUCACUUGCGAAACCAUGCAUCCCUUCAUGCCUAGUUGUGAAUGAUUGGCCAAUUUGCUUGCAGCCAAUUAAAAUUCAAAUAAUGGGUCGAUCAAAGUGACCAAACAAGACAGAUAUAAAUCAUAUUUAUCUUGGAGUUUUAUGUGUUUUGAGAAACUUGGUCUAAUAGCACUUUAACAAUUGCGGCCAUGACAAUGGCUAAACGUGUGCAUGACCUCGCACACCAUUAAUAAUUUCUAUGUAAGUUGGUGAUCAAUCAAUGUGUACAUGUAUACAUGAUAUGUCAUGCCCGAAAUCUAGACGGGUAUAAGGGUGAUCCUUACAUACAAUUCACAGUUUAAACGUGGCAAAAGCUCUAAAGUAAAUAAACUUAUCAUCUUUAUAUAAUUAAAAUUCAACCCUUGAACGGCGGAAGACUUUAAAUGUUAAAUCAUCUAUAAUUCUCAAAUCAAGUCAUUUUCUUUACUCAUCAUGGAUCAAUCUUAAUUUUUGAGAAAAAAAUUUUAUAUACCAAAAUACACAUAUACAUAUUUAUAUACCAUGCAAAUUUAUAAAAUACCAAAAUCUUUUUAAAACAUCGUUGACAAACUUUUCAAACAUAUAAUCUUUCCAAAUUUAUAAUCAUUUAACAAUUAGAAGCAGACACAAAUUAGGUAAGUAUUUAUAUACUUGAAACUUCAUUAAAACAUUUAAAUAUUUAAACAUAGUUAAUUAGCUCAUGCCUCGUAGUCCUUAACAUAUGAUGUCACGUUAUGCACAAAGUGGGGUGUGGUUUUUCAAAACAUAGCAUCAUGUUAGGAAAUAUGUCUUCCUCUUUAAUGAGGAUUUGUAAAUCUUAAAUUAAUAUAUUUUUUAGACUUUUCUUAUUUAGUAGUUUUCUUAUUCACGAGGAUUCAUAUUUAAAAAAUAAGUAAUUUCCAUUUAAAACUUAGCUUAUUUAAGGAGGAAUACAAUUUGUAUGAGAAAAAGAAUACUACUUGUAGAAGAAAUAGUUAUUAUACUUGUCUCAACAAUCAAUUUCUCUGCAAGUAGACAAUUUUUAAUAUGAAAGAAACAGUAGUUCUAUUAAGAGAUUGAGUAUUAUUGGAGUUUUGGGUGUGAGGAAUAUAUUAGAGUGAUUAUACUUAUUUUUCGCAUAGUAGAUUUUUCUCUCGUCGUCCUUGGCAGCCAUAGUUUUUCUCUAAUAUAAGAGUUUUCUCACUUAAAUUCUUAUAUUGUGUAAUUAGUUUUAUUCUCUAUUUAUUUUCUGUUUAUUAUUUGUUUGAUAUUUUUUCUUUCAAGAUAUUGGAACAAAUUAAAAUUUCUAACAAGUUGUAUCAGAGCUAAGCUUGUUUUGAAAAGUAAUUAUGCCAGCAAUAAGAUUUCAAUCUGCAUAUAGAAACAGAAACGUUUAAUGGAAUAAUCAAUUUUGGCUUGUGGCAUAUUCAAGUCAAGUAUAUAUUAGUUCAAUCUAGGUUACAUAAGGAAAGCAAAAGCAAUGUAAACCUUCAUAGGAACUCAUAGAGGUAUGUGGACAAUUAAGGCACUUUGAAGAAGAUUGUCGAAAUAGAGCAAGUUUGGCAAAUAAAUCUAAAUCAGUAGAUGGAGAUACUGAUAAUAUUAGCUAAUGGUGUGUCUCUUUAAUCCAUAAGAGAUCGGUUUAUCUUUUUUUGGUGUGCCAUGGAAAAGAGUGUGUCAUUGUUAGUGGGUCUAUAAGAUUUGCAUUCAAGGCAUGUGUUUGACAUUUGUGCAAGCUAUAUGAAGUAAUUUUUAUGUUGAUGGUGCUGGAGGCUCUCAAGGAGCCAAACAUAAGAGUGGGUAUUUUUAGAAAUUUAAUCGACAUGUACCGAAUAUGUGUACUUUGGAUAAGAUAGAGUAUGACAAUUAUCGGUGUACAGAAUUACAGCGUCUGGAUAGAGACCAUAAUGGAGUGAUUCUCAUAAGCUAUAUGCGAAUAUGGUUUUCGUGCAGUAAAGGAGGUAGAGAUGACAUGGCUAUGGAUACACGGUGGAUCAUGUUUUGUCACCUAAUUGAAAAACUCACUAAGGUGGAGAUUGUAAGGAAAUAUCUCUUAUUUCCUGAUGAGGAUUUGUAAAUCUUAAAUAGGAUAUUUUCUAGGUUUUUCUUAUUUAAUAGGAUCCUUAUUUGAGGAAUAAGUAAUUUCCUUUUAGAAUUUAGUUUAUUCAAGAAUGAAAAUAAUUUCUAUAAGGAAAUGAAUACUACUUGUAAAAAAAAAAAAAUCACUAUACAUAAGGAAGUUGUGUCCACUUGUUUACAUAAUACAACAAUCAAUUUAUUUACAAUUUGAUACUUUCUAAUGUGAAAGAACAGUGGGUCUAUUGAGAGAUUGAGUGUUAUUAGGGUUUUGGGUGUGAGAAAAAUACUAAAAUAAUUAUAAUAAUUUUCUACAUAGUAGAUUUUUCUCCCGUCGUCCUUGGCGACUGUGAUUUUUUUCUGAUACAAAGUUUUUCAUAUAAAUUCUUAUGUUAUAUGAUUAACAUUAUUCUCCAUCUACCUUUUAUUUAUUAUUUUUUUAAUAUUUUUUCUUACAAAAUCUUGGUCAGAUUAAAAUUCCUUAAGACACCAUAUGUUAACAACUACAAGGUAUAAGUUAACUAAGUUCAAAUAUUUAAAUGUUUUAGUUAUGAAAUGUUCUUAUGAUGUUUCCAAUAUUUAAAUGCUUGCAUAAUGAUUCAAUCACUUAUAUGUUUUUAACAUUGUACAAUGUUUUAAAUGUUAAAUGGUUAUAAAUUUCAAAAGAUUCCCCCGGCCGCCCCCCCCCCCCCCCCCCCACAAAAAACCAAAGCCGCGGAAGCAUCCAGGCCCGCAUCCGCUGACUCAUGAUCUCCAAUGACCCAAGAAAAGGGAACAACUCCCCAUUUUUGGGGACCAUUGAUCGCCGCCAUCACCUCUUGUCCGAAAUACCUUUCGCUGAAUAUAAUCAAUAGAAUUUUUUGGUGACCCGGCACCACUUCUUAAAAGGGAUUGUCAAUAGAGGUAUAAACUCCCACGGUAAGACUAGGUUAGUUUUCAACGAAAUCAUGGUAUUUCAUAUAUUUGCAUAGGGUAUAAAAACUGAUUUAUUUAUUGAGCUAGUAUUCGUUUAUUAUGAUUCUCAGAUAUCAAGAUUGAUUCAUGAUGAGUAAGGAGAAAAACUUGAUUUAAGAAUCAUAAAUGAUUUAUCAUUUAAAGUCUU